GACGGCCGGCGAGUCUUUGCCUAGGGUUGUGUUUGGUGGCGUGCCGAGUCUUCAGGAAGCAAAAGAGGCAACUUCUCAACUCUCUGACGCUCUCGAAAAGUAUGUUAUUACUCAUUUUCGUUGAGAAAUUUGAAUUUUUGAAUGUUUUAUUGAAAUAAUUAGUAGUUUUGAAGUAAUUGUUGGAUUUAAUUUUUUUACUGUCUUAUUAACAUUUGGACAGAAUUUUUUGUUGCGUUGAAAGCACAAGUGAUCAUAUAUUUUCGGAAUUAUAUUAGUGCUCAACACUUCACUUUGUUUAUCCUUUUAAUUUUAGUAUUAUAUGAUAUGAAUGAUCCAUAAACGUUUUUUUUCCCCCUUUCUACUUUUGUAUUUGCACUAUUGAUAGCAAGGCUUGAGGAAGGGAUACGGUUUGUUCAGCUAACUAAGAUCAAGUAACAGAGUCACUAUUAGUCCAUUUGUGUGCCUUUCAAAUUAUUACCUCAAGUUGAGGACCUAGGUUCCAACUUUCCUAAUUAUUGCUUGUGAAACUCUAGCCAUGGCUAAAGAAAAGCUUGGCUCUGGCAGGAUGUGAUUCAGUCCUGCUUCUGAUUAUCUUUUUGUUUCUGCAAGCAAAUGUUCGUUUGAUAUUUUCGCUGUAAUUGUUUCUUGAAUUUUCAGGGUGUAUUUAUCUUCGCCUGAGCCCGUUGCAUAUGACGGUUUGCUUAUAGAAGAUCAUCACCCAAGCUCAUUGGUGCUUUCAGACACACAAGUAUUGGAGAAUAAAGCCCUCGUUACCGACAGGUCUACACCAGUCUCCGGAGAGCUGAUGCAUGCUAUUCAGGCAUUUAGGCUUCUAAAUGAAAGCUCUAGAGUUCAGGUUUUCCUGUUGAUAUCUCUCGUUCUAUUCUAGGAUGGUGUGCAUUUUUCUAACUGAAUAUGUAUGAAUUUGUUUUAUUUUCUUAAUGUGCACGGACAUGGAAUAUAUAAUUUGUUAAUUUAUUUUGAACUCAAAGUCGAAUACUAUCUGCAUGUUUGGAGUGGUAGUGGACAUGCACUAGUUUCAACAUUGAGCAUUCAAAGCACAUGAAAUUUUUGGGCAGCAGUAGAUACAUAUAAUUUCAUUAAUGCUAUAGCUUAGUCGGCACCAACCUUAAAUUUUUUAUUAUGAUAGCUGAAUCUAUUCUUGUGCUAGAAUGUUGUCGCUUCAAUUGUUCAUGACACAAAGGUGUGGAACGCAGUGUUAGAAAACCAAGAGCUUCAAGAGUUUCUCCAAUCACAUAAGAACAGUAAGAAAUCUUGGUUAUGUCUGUCAUUCAUCUAGUGAUUGCUAGAAAAAUAUGUAUACAUCUUUAUCGUCUUUUUAUUGGCAGGUAAUAAUCUUCCGGAUCAAUCAACUCUAAACACAGUUGACACAUCAUCCGAUUCCGGGGAAUCCACUGAUGGGAGUAAGCCUAAAGAUGUUUUCAAGAAAAUCAAGGUAACAGUGGUAGAUAUGUUAAGCAGCUUGUCUGAUUACUUUCGGAAUUUCUUUGAAGUUGAUAAAGCAUCUGCGAAUUCUAAUGGAAGUGCGAGAUUAAACUCUUUAGACACGGCUUUGGAAGCAUCCUUCAUGGGAUUGGCUGUCAUGGCCAUAAUGGUAAUUUUGAUCAAAAGAGAUUAGUUAUCAUCCUCCUUUUGCAGUGUGUGCAUGAAUUUGUCGAAGCUUGUCAUUGUGAUGCAAAUACAAGUUGUACAAUACUAUACAAUCUUACUUGUUUGUUAUUGAAUUAUACAUUGGAUAUCAUAGUGAGAAGUCUCAAUGUAGCUCGUGUGUGUUUGUUGAUGUUGCUCUUUAAGCACAAGCUGAUGGCGCUACUUUCGUAAUUAACCACUUCGAGAAAUAUUUUUCGUCUGUGAUGUAAGCAUUCAAUAAUAUUCCAUGUCAGUAUCUCCUAAAUUGGCAAAGGAUUUCUUGAGCUCUUUCACGAACUUGUGUCAAUGUUGACUCUCUACUUUGAGCUGGUUAGAUGGGCGCACUUCUUACUUGAUGGCGAAGGAUUUCUUGGACCUGUCCAGAAUGUUAUUAUUCUAUUUUAUUUUAUUUUAUGUUAUUUUUAUGGUUUUGAUUUCAUUAUUUUUUUUUUUUCAAAAUAAUCGAACGAAGCAAUAAAUGGAGAUAUUUUCAUCUCAUACGGUUCUUGUCCUUUACCCAUUUCGUCUCCCAAAAAUCUUCAUGGGGGCCGGGGAUGUUAAUGGUUGCAUUAUUUCAACCACUCUUGUUGCCAUCCCUAUUAGUAUUGUUAUAAAUAAAAAGCAAUGAUUUUAAACUUAAAUCAUUGAUCUCAAAAGAUUGUAUUUUGACUAUUGAAAUUUAAUUCGAAUUGUUUCAAAGCGAUUUGGUUUCCACAUGAACCCAAACAACCAUUUUUAUUCGAUGUUUCAAUUUAACUGCUUUUAUUCACCUCUUCAAAGAACACGUUAAAUAGACUAGUAAAAAAACUACGUAAAGUCAAGUCAUAUAGCAAGUGUGAAAUAUUGGAUUGUUUCUUCAAUGUUGGAUCACUUCGACAAUUCGAUCUGAACUGCAUAACAAAAUAUGUUAAUUUGAUUAAAUCCAAGAUUUUCAAUUUAAAAAUAUUUAUUUUAUAGAGAAUUUUUUAUUUUAUUAUUAUUAUUAUUAUUUUUAUGCCCAACUGAUUUGUUGCCCAUCCAUCAUUAGUCUGACUUGUCCAUCUAAAUGGGCUUUGGCCAUGGGGUACAGAGGAAAUUAUGCCACGUAUCUACUAUUUAAUAAAUGUUUGUAAUAUACUUUUCAACAUUUUUUUAAACCAUAUAUACUGUUUUUAUAUAGCACCCAUUAGAUAACAAUUUUUUCCCUCAAAAAUUGAUUUUUUACGAUUAUUUUACUAUUUCAGUCGUCAUUUUUUGCUUCUUCAAUCAUAGGUGGGGCUCACUUUUCCCCUUAACACUCAAAAAAUAAAUUCUCAUGAUCACUACCAAACAUGCCCAUAGUAAAAAUAGAAUGUGAAAAAAGUAAACAAAUAAUAAGUUAUUCAUUACCUAACUAAGAUUACUCUAAUAAACAUGCCCUUAUUAUGUCAAACUAAAGAACAAAAUCACUAAAUUAGUGUUGUUUCAUAUUCCACGUCCAAAAUCCCAAAAUUAUAUUAAAACAUACAUGGGGUUAUAAUGAAAUCUCGACAGUAUUUUCGUCGAACAAUAUAUGUAUUGAUCGCCUUAGAAGAUUAAUAUGAUUCAACGUUUGUGUUUUCGAUGUAGUAAUAUUUUCUGUAUUCAAACCGACUUGUAAUGAAUGUGUACAUUCAUCACACACACACACACACACACAUACAUACACAUACAUACAUACAUAGAUAUAUACAUACAUAUAUAUAUAUAUAUAUAUAUAUAUAUAUAUAUAUUUUAAUUAAAUUCUGUUUAUGGAAGGACUUAGAAUGAGGCAAUUUAAGUUUACAUCGGUUACAAAUUCUAGUUUGGAAUUUAAUUUUGGGAGCUAGUAUUUUAAACAUAUUUAAUCAUCAAUAUAGUAUUUUUAGUUAAUAUUAUCAUGACAUGGUAAGAUGUGAAUUAAUAUUUUGUAUUGAUGUAUAUAUGUAUUUUUCCGUAAUGUACAAUUACUGGUACCAAUAAACGCAGUCUAUACCCAAUUGGAAUAAGCAAAUCAUAUAACCAAACAAAACCUAGGACAACACAAUCCAAACACAGCACCUCUUGGCCUCACUGAAAUUCUCGAAUUAAUUGUUUCAAUGGUUAUCGAACUUAGGUUCAUAUCUUUAAUUUGGUCACCGAAAUUAAAAUAUCGAGUUUUGACAACUGAACUUAGGUCCAUAUUUUCGAUUGCUCAUUGAAGAUUAGCGACUAUUGGAACAAUUAACUCGAAAUUCUCUCCCAUUUUGCCUCCUCAUAUAUAAUAGUCUCAGUUGCCAACUCCCAACUUCUGUCGCCGUUGCCUCUACCUCCUCUUUCCCAUCCGCCGGCACAUAGGGAAAGCACACACUAGAAUGGGCCAUGUAAUCAGGGCACAGCGUAAGAGAGUAGGUUCUGUUUUCAAGUCCCACACCCACCACCACAAGGGCUUGGCCCGUUUCCGCUCCCUCUACUUCAACGAGCGCAAUGGGUACAUUAAGGGUGUUGUGACAGAGAUAAUCCAUGACCUUGGGCGUGGCGGCCCACUGGCCCGUGUCACCUUCUAGCACCAUUUCCGAUACAAGCACCAAAAGGAGCUCUUUGUCGCCGCUGAGGGAAUAUACACCGGCCAGUUUCUCUACUGUAACAAGAAGGCCAACCUCGUCGUUGGCAAUGUUUUGCCCCUUUGAUCCAUCCCUGAAGGUGUUGUUGUUUGCAAUGUUGAGCACCAUGUUGGUGAUCGACUUAAGAAAUCAACUAAAACUUAACACUAAAAUUAUUUUUUAAAAAUUACUCAAAAAAUUAGUAUUAAAAAUAGUAGAGCAUUAAUUGAACUCAUAGCCAUAAAUAAUAAACUCUUCAAAUAGCAAUUAGACCAAAGGAAUGUCAAGCAUCAAGAACCUAUGUUUUAUCAAUACAUUGUCCUCCGUUAUAUCAAAUAUUCCGUUAAAAAUUUAAUGGAUUUCAAUUGAGUAGCCGAAUGAAACAAACAGAAAGAAUUCUUUGAAAAAAAUUGUAAAGAUGAGUGAAUAAUAUGGAAUUUCUCUAUAAAUUGAGUAGUAUGUUUAACCCCCUAAACAUUUGUGUCAUUCUUAAUGUAUUUUGAACUUAUGGUGCAUCUAAUUGCUCACAUGAAAUUUGUAUGGAAAGAAAAUAAAUUUUAGAUAAUUGAAUUGCCUAUAACUUAUUUGGAUGGAAAUUACUAAUUAAAUGUGUUUGAUUGAUUUAGUUUUCAAUCUAGAAAAAUAAUAUAUUUGUCCAUCUUUUAUUUGUAGGCAAAUGAGAGAGAGUUGAUAAAAUAAGACUUAAAAGAUAGAAACGGAGAGUGAAUUAUCUAGAAAAUAAAAAUCGCUCCUUCUUAAGAGAAAAUAUUUUUCUUGUUUUUGAGAAAAAUAUGACCACGUGACCAAAAGUUGGAAAAUAUUUUCUAUGGAAAAAAUUGUUAGUCAAACAUUCAAGAGUAGGAAUUUGAAUGGGAAAAAUGACAUUUUCAAAAUAAUAUAACGCACUUUUAAAUAAAUUGUAGAUGAUAUAAUUAAGUUUCCUAACUGAAUCCAAUAAAAUAGCCUUCGUUGGGGCCUAGAUUCUUAUCAAUGGAAGACUCCAGUGAAGAGUAUAAUUAUGAUAUUUUCUGUGUCUGUGAUUAUGUCUUUGCUCAAGCCCCAAGAUCCCAAGAAUUAUACAAAGAAUGCAUACUUUAUUUAGCUAAUUGGAAGCUUGUUUGUUUGUAAACAAUUUUUUUGUCGUUGUAAUGUUUGGUACUAUCUAAUCCUCUUUAAUGCUGCAUGUCAAAUAUGUUCUGAUUAUUAAAAAAAAAAAUCAUGUGGAAUGAAAAAGAGACCAUAGAUGUUGGGAAGAUUAGCAUUUCUGAUCUAAUUAGAAAAUCUGAUUCCAAAUCUUCACAGCCCUGUUAACGUACAAUUAAUAAGGCCGAAUUAAGUUACAAAUAGGACUGUGAUCUUCUUUGGAAGUUUAUCUUUUCUUGAAUCCACCUGCAUUAUUGCCAAAGCAUGCAUAAUUUCAAAAGAAAAUAAAAGGGAUUAUAGUAAAGAAUAAUAAAAAAAUUGGGACAGAAAAAUUAUUUGAAAUAUUAUGUUUUCUCUAAUACUAACACUAUAAAACUUUAAACUAAAAAAAAAAAAAAAAUGGUAAGCACAGAAUUUGUAUGGAAUGAAAAUAUGUUCUAUGCAAUUGAAAAAGGUAUAAAGCUGCAUUGUCUCCCUGUUGAAAACCUGUAACAGAUUUCUUGUACAUGUAGUGCAGUUCUUGAAAAAGAAAAGGUAAAUGUGAGAGAGAGAGCGAAUUGCCUCGAAAAUAAAACCACACUCCUCCCUAAAAAAAAAUGAUUUCAUUAAUUUUGAGGAAAAUAUGAUCACGUAAUCAACUUUUGAAAAAUAUUUUUCAAGAAAAAUUGUCAAUUUAACAUCCACAAAUAGGAACUUGAGUGAAAAAAUGACAUUUUUCAUGAAAAAUAAAACCAAUAGAACACACCUUAAAAAAAAAAAAAGAAGAAUCCAAUUAAAAUCAGUAGUACUAGUAACCUAAUUCGCUAGUCAUUGUUCUAGCAAAUGCUACAAGCAGACAAUGGUCUUUUUUGGCAUAUACAUAAAGAUCUAAAUACCAUAAAGAAAAGAAAAAAGUGACUUACUUUUUGAAUUACAAUCCGGUGGAUCUUCAAAGAGAGAGAGUGAAAGUUGCUUGUGAGCAACACUAACGUCAAAAAGUAUGAGACCUGAAGUGGGAUCAUUUACAAUGAUUUCUUUGACCGGAAGCCAUAGAAAAAGCUCUUCUUGUUAAAGCCCUUCAACUCCAGUAAGACUGCCAUAUGUAAGAUUUGCUCUCACAGCCCUAUCAGACAAAGCCAUGGUAUCAAAUUUGGUCAAGCAUGGCCAUUCAAGAAACACUUCAAGAAAGCCGGAUUCUGACUCGGUGUAGGACUUUAUGUCCUUCGGGGAGAGGCCUGCUGGUAACCCUCUGGAUAUGAGGAGGCCAUGGAUGGAGGAGUGAGAAAGAGGAAGAGAGAGAAAGACUCAAAGUAAAGGAGCGAGGAAGAGAUUUUGAAAGGAAGCCAUGAAUAAUGUGUAAUGGUAAAAGGAUUUUGAGAGUGGAAAGGGUUUAAGGGGAAAUGUGGAGGGAGUUUUAAGGUUGUUUUACUAUGUUGCCCUGGAAAAUAUGAUUGGUUUGAAUUUUUGGAAUACUUUAGUUAAAUUUGAUCAUUCCAUAAGACCACACCGUAGCAUUCUUGAUGUCGGUUGAGUGAAGAGGAGGACAGUAAAUUGUACAUUUUAUGUCACAUAACUCAUGUUAAUUUGUAAAAGUAAAACACAAAAAGUGAUAUAAACUAUAUUAAAAACAAUGGUUUGAGGUCCAAAGGUCAUAUCUAGCGCUCCAUCAAAUUUGCACCAUUUUGUACCAAAUUUUACACCAAACUAAAAUUCAUCUCCAAUAAUUACAUCGACAAUUACACCAAUGAACAGUAUUUAAUCAUUUUCUUCCCUUUUUUUUAUUCUUUAUAAUAUAUUUAUCAGAAAAUAUUAUUUAUAUAAUUAUUUUAUAAAUACAUAAAUUACUAAAUAAAUAAUUACGUUAAAUUACGGAAAAGAUUAAAUUUAUUAAUAAAUCAUGUUUGUUAUAUUUUAAAUUUUUUUCUUCUUUUAAUUAAUUUAUUAAUUAUUAUUUCUUACAUUUAAAAUAAAUUUUAAAUGCACAUAAUAAUAAUAAUAAUAAUAAUAAUAAUAAUAAUAAUAAUAAUAAUAAUUUAUUGUAUUAAAAAAUAUAUAACACAAAUAACACAAAUACCCUUAAUCAAUUUAUUUGGAAAGGAAAACAGUAAAAAUAACUUUGACACUUUGCACCAAAUGGUGCAAAGUGAAUAGUGUUGUAUCAAAUAUAGUGCAACACUACUCACCUUGCACCAUUUGACAUCAAAAUGGUGCAAAAUUUGGUGUUACACAGGGUCGGUCCUGUGAUUGUCGGGACUCGAGGCGAAUUCCAUAAAUUAGGCCCCGGCGAAAUCAACGUAAAUGUAAAAUUCAACAGUAUAUUAUACGACCUAUUGCUAACUUAAAACUAACAUUUAAAUAACAACUAGAUAUAUUAUAAAAAUGAUUUAUAUUAUAAAAUAACAAAACCAAAGAUUUAAUCAUAGAGUUAAUGAACUUGUGCCAAGUGUGGAAGUGCGGAUUAAGAAAUCAGCAUAGUUGACUAAAGAUUUAUUAUCAAUUAAAAUUAAACAAAAAUAUACAUAUAGAUUAAAAUACGACUUUCCAUCCCUUUUAAAGCAGAUUUAGAAUGAAAGAAUUAUAAAAUGUAGUAAUAUCUUCGUAAAGUUUUUGUACAAAAAUAAGACAAUGACAUGGAUUUAACAAAUAAAAUCACAUAAAUAUCUAUCUUCACAAAGUUUUUGUACAAAAAUAAGACAAUGACGUCAAUAUUUAUAGACACCUAUUUAUAAAAUAUAAAUUCAUCAAAUUCCACAUCAUUUUCAAGAAAAUAAACCUCAAAUUUAACUAUUUUAGAUCUUAUCUUCAAUAAAUUUACAUUAAAUCCCACACCAUUGGAUUUGGCCUGCUUUGCCUUGUUUUGGGGGAAAAAAAGCAUGGGCUGAAAUGAGGCCCCUUAUGGUCUUAGGCCUGAGGUGAGAGCCUCAUUUGCCUCGCCUCAUGACUGGCCAUGGUGUUACAUUGGAGGUAUUUUGCACCUUUUUUGGUGCAUUUGGUGUUUUGGGAUAAGCAUUGGAGAUGCUCUAAGUGGUAGUAUACACUUAGGCUGACGAGCUAAAAAGGUCAACCGAUAGCAACUUUCAAAUUUUUGAAUUGGAAAAAUGAAAUAGGUGAAAUUGAUGAACUAUGAUAAAAGAAUAAAUUAACAAAAAAUGGCCUUAAUGAAAAGUCAAACGCAACAUAAAAGUUGCCCCCUCCAAAAGAAAAGAGCACCAACUUUGACAAUCAGCAAUAGGGAUGGUAAAAAAACCCAAACCCAAAAUUCGCGGGGUCCCGCCCCGAACAGGGCGGGUAAUACCCGCUUAAUUGGGAAUGGGUUGGGUAUGGAAUGGGAGACUUAGACCCGACUCGGGUAUGGGGUGGGGACGGGUAACAAGGCACCCACCCCACACUCGCUCCAUUUAAUCUUUAAAAAUUAAAACUAAAAAAGAAUAAGUCUGAAGUUAAGAUGCCAACUGCCAAGCCGAACAUCAUUUGUAAUUGUAACUCCUAAGUGGCCCACUUCCUAGGCUUUAGUUUCCCGCUAAGCCAUAAGGCAAUAAAUAAAACCUACAGUAGCCACGUUACCCAUCUGCCAUCAUUUAGUGAUUAGGGUUGCCGACUUGCAGUUACCGUGACUUCUUCACAUCAUCUCCCACCGGCCACUCAGAGUCUCAAUCACUCUCGUGUCUCUCACUGUCGCUCAAGUUUGACCUAGGUAAUUUGACAAUAUCUCAAGCCCUUCAUCUUCUCCAAUCUCCAUGCUAUCUUCUCUAGGUUAGAAUGUUGGUACAGUAAUUUUUUUGCAUGGGACAAAUGACUUAAUCUCUGUCUCUCUAUUUCUCAAUACAAUUAUUGUAUCCACAGAGAUUGAGCUCCUCUAUAUUAACAAAUUAACUUUCUUGGAAGUAACUAUCGGACUGCAAAUAGUUGCAUAUUACUUAAGUUUCUGAUAUGAAAGGUCGAAGACAAUUUGUUAUAAAGAAUUAAAGAUAAUAAGAGAACAAUGAUUGAAUUCACCUGUGUUUUGGCUGAAUAUGAUCCUCUAGCAAAUAUGCUAGACGAGGUUGUCUCCUCGGGCAUCUCAUGUGUAUAAGGUUCUGAUUGAGGGCUGAAGGUUCCAAUUAAUUCUUUGGUACUGUCCACUGAAAUACUGUUCGUGAAAGGGUAAAUUUUAUCAAAAACUUCAACAAGUCCAUAUAUAUUCAAUUAGAAACACAUAAUUUGAGGAAAGAGAACCUUUGAUGCCAGUUUUCCAAAAAGUGUUCCUCUACUUGAGGCCUGAAACAAUAUUGUUGUUGACUUGGAAUGUAAAUUUAAGGCUAUAACGAAUACCCUCUUUCUAUUUUCAGAUGCCUGGAUUACAGCAUUAUACAUCCAUACCGAGCAUUGGAAGUACUUCAGCAUGAUCAAGUGAUAAUCCAUCCCAUGAAGACUUACCUAAUCAUAUAAAUACACAACAAGAUCCAAUAGACUUGUGUGAUGAGGAAGAGGAUAGUAGACAAGGUAAGAAAAGAAAUUGACUUUGGUAGUAUGGAACCACUUCAAAAAAAGGUCAUUAAGGGAGAAGAAAGGCAAUUUGUAACUAUUGUGAAAGAAAACUAGGGGCUAAAAGUAAGAAUGGGACAAAACAUUUGCACGAACAUAUGAGAUGUCCUCGUCGAAAUCAAAAAAAUAUUAAGCAAGCAAUAUUGAAUCCAUUGAAGGAAGCAUGUGGAAGGGUUUCAUUGGGUACUUACUCUUUUGAUCAAGAUAAUGCUUAGAAAGAACUUGGAAAAAUGAUAAUCUUGCAUGAGUAUCCUCUUUCGAUGGUUGAGCACAUUGGAUUUAAAAGAUUCACGAAUACUUUACAACCAUUAUUUAAGAAUAUUUCUCGUAACACUAUAAAGAAUGAUAUUUUGAAAAUUUAUGAUUGUGAGAAAUUGAAAGUGAUGAGCUUAUUGGAGAGGAACAAUAGCAAAAUUGCAGUCACUACAAACACGUAAACUUCCAAUUAGAAUAAAAGAUUCAUGACCAUCACCGCACAUUUUAUAGAUGAUGCUUGGAAACUUCAAAGUCGUAUUAUGAGGUACUUAUCUUGUAUGAAGUUAAUUUAGCUUAUUGUUAUAUAAUACUUAAAUUAAUUUUUGUUGUAUUAAUGUUAUUUUUAUAUAUUGGAGACAUGUUCAUAUAUGUACCGUGUCCGCACAUGUUUGUGGCAUUGAGUAUAUCGUUGAUGGAUUGCUUAUUGGAUUGGAAUAUUGAUUAUAAGUUGUCUACUUUGAGCAUCGAUAAUUGUACUACAAAUGAUGCCAUAAUCAAUAUUCUUUUAGAUAAACUUUCUCGUAGCUCACUUCUGCUGAAUGGUGAAUUUUUUCAUAUGCGUUGUUGUGCACACAUAUUGAACUUGAUAGUUAAAGAUGGUUUAGAGAUCAUUAGCUGGAGUGUUGAGAAAAUUCGUGAUACUGUUGCAUAUUGAACAGCAACUCCAAAACGAUUAGAGAAAUUUGAGACUUCAGCACGUCAAUUGAAAAUUUCUUGUUCCAAAAAGUUAGCACUAGAUUGCAAAACGAGGUGGAACUCUACCUAUUUAAUGCUUCACGGUGCUUUACAAUAUAUGGAUGUUUUUCCUCGACUAAAGCAACGUGAGACACAAUAUAAAUGCUUGCCUAGUGAUGCAUAUUGGAAUUUGGCGGCGAAAGAGAUAUGUGAAAGGUUGGAGGUGUUUUUGAAAAGACUGAAAUAUUUUCUGGGACCAAGUACCCAACAUCCAUUUUUUAAUUUUUCUUAUAUUUGUGAGAUAAAGUUGUCAAUUUAUGAUUGGAUGAAAUCUCCUUAUGAUGAAAUCAGAAUGAUGGCUUUAAGUAUGAUUGACAAGUUUGAAAAAUAUUGGAGUGAGAUUUAUGGAAUUUUGGCAGUAGCUAGUGUGUUGGAUCCAAGAUUUAAAUUUUCGAAUCUUGAGAUUCAAAAUAUUAGAAGAUUUUGUCAAAAACUACUAAAUGAGUACAAAAUAAAACAUGGAUCAAGUGGUAAUAUGAUUGAAUCUUCAAACAGAACUUAGAUAAUUACUAAUAUGAGCAAAAAGGAUCGGUUGCCACAAUUUGAUUUAUUUGGUUCUAAUAUGACUAGUAUAAUGGUAUGAAAUCAGAGCUUGACACUUUCUUAGACGAGCCCGUACUGCCUAGAUCAAUUGAUUUUGAUAUAUUGGCAUGGUGAAAUACAAAUUCAAUAAAAUAUCCUCUUUUGGCAAAAGUUGCAAGAGAUAUUUUAGCCAUUCCAAUAUCUAUUGUGGCGUCAGAGUCUGCAUUCAGUACCGGUGGUAGAUUUGUUAGUCCACACAGAAAUAGGCUUCAUCCAAAAACUUUGGAAGCUUUAAUGUGUGCUCAAGAUCGGUUAUGGUCUGACAUUCAUGGUACGAUAAAUAUAACUAUAUAUGUUUUUUUUUAUAAUUGUUAUUUAUGUUAUUUCUUUAUUACUAACUAGUUUUAUUUUUUGAUAGAACAUUCAUUACCUACAUCAUAUUCUAGAUGCUGUACAAAAUUAAGUGACAUGGAUAUUGAAGAGGAGGUAAAUUGUUUUCAUUCAAAUGGACUUGAGUAAUAAAUAGUUAGAUAUAUCAUUUGUCUAACUAAUACACUUCUUCAGUCACCAAUUUUUAAGGAGCUAGAUAUAGACAUUUCAGAAGAAGAUGUUAGCUCUUGAAGAUCUACAACAUGAAGUGUUGCAUUAUGCUAUGUUUCUCUACAAGCUACGUUGUAAUUUAUCCAAUAAUUUGCACAAUUAGAAUAUAUUGGAUGUAUUUUUAGUUGAGUGAAUGUAUUGUUUGUGGAUUUAAGUUAUGGUGAAAGACAAUUGUUUUGGCAUUGGUGAUUUGAUUUUCAUUUCAAGAUUGAGAAGCUAUUUGACGUUGAACGGUUCACAAUAUUGCUUGAUGAAUUCCUUCAAUUUUACUACAGCUCUUCCUCUGUUGUUGUAUAACAAGGAUUAUGUUAAACUUCAAGUUCUCAAAGUUUUUGAGAAGAGUAAGGAGAAUUGGCAUAAUGUUUGUCAAAAUAUUAUAUUAUUACAAAAGGUACUAAACUUAAAAUAUAUUAAAAACUAAAUUAAAAUGAGGCAGUAAAUGAGUAGAGACCUUGCCCCGCCCCGCCCCGCCCCGCCCCGCUCCGCUCUCACCCUACUCCCAACUGGUCCCCGACUUAAAUGGGUAUGGGGCGGGACACUAUCUAGUGGGGCAGGGUGGGAGAAGUUUCCCCGACCCAUACCCACCCCGUUGCUAUCCCUAAUCAGCAAUAUCACAAUGAUAUAAUUAUCAUUUUUAUAUUAUUUAGCUGAAUUAGAAUUUUUUUAUUGAUAAGAAUAGAGAGUUUAGCUAAAUUUUAGGAGGAAUUUUGCUAAAAAGUAUGAUUUUGUAUAAAGAGGGGGCCCAAAUUUUUGUAAUCAUCAUUGAGGCCACUAAGAGAGCAUGCUAUAACGGUCAUCGGAGCACCAAUUUGAUUAUUUAAUAGGCUUAUAGAAGGUUUGCCUUAAGCUUUUGAAGUUCUUAUAAUGUCAUCUCCAACGCUGCACUAAAAUUUGCACCAAACUAAAAUUUACCUCCAAUCAUUACACAAAAAAUUACAUUAAAUGAGCUGUUUUUAACCAUUUUCUUCCCCUUUUUUUAUUCUUAGUAAUUUAUUUAUUUGAAAUAUUAUUUAUUUAAUUAUUUUAUAAAAACAUAAAUUACUAAAUAAAUUAUUAAGUUAAAUUACAAAAAAGAUUAAAUUCAUUAAUAAAUAUAAAAAAUAUAGUACAAUUAACAAAAACACUACAACAGCGAAAAUAUUAAAUUAUGCCAUUAAAAAAUAGUGCAAUGCAAUUUGAAUUUGGAUAUUACGAUAUUAAUAUUUUUUAUAUUAAUUCACUAAUUAUUAGUUUUUACAUUUAAAAAUUAUUUUAAAUGCAAAUAAUAAUAAUAAUAAUAAUAAUAACAAUAAUAAUAAUUUAUUGUAUUAAAAAAUAUAUAGCACAAAUACCCUUAAUCAAUUUAUUUGGAAAAUGAUAAGAAAUGGUAAAAAAGACUUUAUACACUUUGCACCAUUUUGGUGUAAAAUUGUGUAAAGUAUAAUGUUGCAUUGGAGCUCUUUUGCAACAAAAAAACGGUGCAUUUUGGUGUUUUGGGUCUCACAUUAGAGAUGGUCUAGGUACCCGAUUUGAGAAAUCAUUCUGGUCAAUAGGUUGGGUUAUGCAAAGUUGUGUUUCUCAAAACUCAAAAGUGCAUGAACUUCUUGAUCCUCCACUUCCUAAUCACGAGUUCGACUCAACCACAAAUCUUUUGAAAGGGACCAAAUGUAAAUGUAAACGAAAAGUAAUAUGAAGAAAUAGACUUGAAUCACAUUUAUACUAGGAUUUUUCCGCCUUUUUAAAGAUACAAAAAUUUACCUAUCACUUAAGGGCAUGUUUGAUAGGCAUGAAUUUCCCAUGGAAAAUGGAAUUCAAAUUCCAACUUCCACUUUUUGGCUAUUUGAUAGGUUUUUUUUUCAUGAAACUGAUUUUCUUGGUUUUUUCGAAAAGGGGACUUUUUUUGGUUUUCUAGGCUACUGUUCCUCAUUUAUUAUUAUUAUUAUUAUUAUUAUUACUAUUAUUAUUAUUAUUAUUAUUAUUAUUAUUAUUAUUAUUAUUAUUUGCAAUGGAAAGAAAUUCUAUCCUUAAUUGUAAAAUUUUUUUUCUUUUAAUUGAUAAUUUUCAUGUAAAACAAAGAAAAACAAAUAUCAAAAGAUAGAUGAUUUUCUUGAUUUUUUUUGACAUUAGAAACAAAUUUUAUCCCUAAUACCAGUAAAUUAUACUUCUUUAAUUGUCAAUUUUCAUAUAAAACAAAACCAAAUGAAUACCCAAAAAUAUUUUUAUUUCAACAUUUUUCACGUGAAAAAUUAUACCAAUCAAACACAAUGAUUAACAUUAAUUCUCAAUAAAACAAUUUUUGGGUAAUUCAAUUCCAUGGAAUUCGUUUUUUUUCCACAUAAAUUUCAUUUUUACAAUCAAACGGAUCCUUAACUUAUAUGUAAGAUUUCACAUUUUAAUCUUGUAUAUAUUUUCUAUGCUAAUUUGAAUGCUUUAUUAAUAUAAAUAAUUAGUAGCUCAAAAUAAAACAAAGCAUUAAACCUCUAGUCUAAAAAUAUGAAGUUGAAAUUGAUCAAACACUUGACAGUAUUUUCUAUGUUGAUUAACUCCAUAAUCAAGUUUAUGUAAUGAAUCAUGUUCAAUGUACAAAAUAGCUAACUCAUUCAAUCUUUUUUGUGAUGUAAUUCAUUUAUCAAAUGCUAAAAAAAAUAUGCAGUACAAUUCAAAACUAUGAUAAUUUUAUAAAAAAUUAAACAUGAUAUAGACUAAUGAACACUACAAUUUCAAGAAUAAUGAAAAAGUUUGAGCAUAUCAAGAAUCAAGAUCAUAAUGUUUUUUAGGUGAAGGAAUACAUAAUUUUCAAUAAUCAUCUAAAAAACACAAGUAUCAACUAUAUAUAUAAACCAUGAAAAAAAAAAGACUUGUGUUCAAUUAUGUAUGCAAAAUGGAGAAGAUCAUCAGAAUUAAAGAAGCAAAUAUAUCCCAAAAUAAAUAAAUAUAAACCCUCCUAACAUAUUACUGGUAUUACAAAUACAAAUAAAAAGACAAAAGUACAACCUUCUUAAAGAUAUGCUCACCAUAGAGUCCUCACCAAUUAAUAAGUAAAAAUAUCAAAACCAACUCAAAAAAGAAUAUCAAUAUAAUACCAUAAACGGUAUAUUAAUCAAAAUUGAUGCUUUGAUUGCAAAUAUUUAAUUGUAAUUGAAAGAUUUAUUACUUUGAUUACAUAAUCUUAAAGUCUUUGGUGUUUUCAGUAGUAGAAAUGGGAAAAAAAAGGGGGGGGGGGGGGGGGUCAACAGUAGUAGAAAUGGGAAAAAGGGCCCCGAGAGGGGGGUGGGUGCUUAGGUUGGAUUUUAUUUUGAUCUUUCCUUCACUAUUUUUUUAAUAGAACUAUUCAUUAUUAAAAAGGGGAAAAUUAAAAUAAUAUAAAUUUCAAAAUUUUGGGACCUUGCAUAUUACGGGCUUUGGUGACUGCUCAGAUGAUUUCAUCGUUGAGCCGACCAUGACAGUAGAAUUUAUCCUUUUUCUUGUUUAGAAUAUUACUUUUUGUUAUUUUUUUUAUAAUAAUUCUACACAGUAUUACGAGUGUUUAACAUCAAUAUAUAUCGCAACAUAACUACAUUAAAUUUUAGAUUCAAUAAAAUUUAAGGAUAUGGUAUAAAUUAUUUUUGGACCUAGCAUUUAAUAAUUUUUAUCUACUAGUUUAUGGAAAUACCAAGUAAAAUAAAUGGGGAAUCUCAUACUUUUGCUUUCUUUCUUUCCACUACCAAGUACCAUCCAUUUCUCUCGUAUCUCCAAUCCUUUAACUCCACCUUCGUCCCUAUUUUAAAUGGUCGAGAUCGAUCGCUGAUUAAAAAAAUUGGAGACUUUGCCAAUGAAGAAAAGAAAGUACAAAUCAAUCAAUUUUGUGCAAAUAAAAAAAUUGAUAUUAUUUUAAUUUUUCUUUCACCGUCCACGUUCUAUGACGUUACUUGUUACCUUACCCAUUAUUUAGUACAAGUUCAGAGUCUCUUAUCGAGAAACACUCUAGUGAUAAGGUAUGGGAGGCGCCGGAGCGAUGAAGGCCGCGUUGAAGGUGACUAGGACAUUGCCGAUGAAUGGAGCCAGGCGGCUCACGGUAGAGAACCAUCCGGUCUCGGUUGCUGCCGUGUCCACCCGCUCAUCGGCAGCGAUGGACUCACCACUGAUGGCUUCUUCGUCACAAUCGAAGGAGGAGCUGAGGGUUACGGCCGGUGAGCCUUUGCCUAGGGUUAUUUUUGUCGGCCUGCCCACUCUUCAGGAAGCAAGAGAAGCAACUUCUGAACUAUCGCACGCAGGCCAAUUGUAUGUUAUAGAUGAUUUUCGAUUUACAAAAUUAGAUUCUUACCGUUUUAUUGAAUUUCAUCUUCUCCCUUUAGUCAAUUCUUGCGAAUAGAUUAGUCAAGCCUUGGUUCUCAGAGGAUGUGAAUAAGUGAAUUCUACCUGGUUUUGAUUAUCUAUUUAUUAUUUGAAACUUUUGAGGGUUCUACCUUAAAUUUUCAGAUUUCUAGCUUCAUCUAAUCCUGUUCGACAUGAGGACAUGACUGUAGGAGAUCAACAUCCAAACUCAUCGCUGCGGUCAAACUCACAUUUGUCUACGGGUGCUAUUCAAGCAUUUCAGCUUCUAAAUCAAAGCCCACGAGUUCAGGUUUUUCUGCUGACACCUCUCGUUUUGACUAGAAAGUUCGAAUAGGUACUUACAGUAAGUGUAAUGAUCCAACAUUUGUGUUCAAGUAUUAUUGUCUGUUUCGAAAGAGUCUAUAUCCAUCAAAUCUCUCAUAGAUAUUCGUGCCCUCCCAGAGUCUUUGAGAACUUAUCAAUAAAUCAAUGGAAAUCUGGGUCUGUGCUUCACCAUAGUCCUAUUAGAAUUGCUCUAUCCCCAAGGUCACCCUCAAGAGUAUCAUUCGAGGCCCCAUCUUCUUAGCCCAUAUUUAGUGGGGAUUAAAGCCGAUUUUUUAGUAAAUUUUGAUAAAAAUUGAUGAAUUAUAUUGUUAAAAAGUUGUGAAUCUCAUAGAAACAUUGACUUAAAUUAAAACCUGAUAUCCGUCUCAUGAGAGACUUAAGUUGAAUUUUGGUACCAAUUGAGCAAGUUGUUCAAUUGCUUUAUGACAUAUUUAAGUUGAAUCAUGUACCAAUUGAACAAAUUGCUUAAUCGCUUUAUGAGAAUUUUAAGUUAAAACCCUGUACAAACUGGGUAAGUUACUCAAUUGAUAAUAUGAAAGCUAAAAGAUUUGAAUGUAGAAGUUCGGGUCGUUACAAAAAACGUUUGAGAUUUUAAGACAUCUCGUACUAUUGAGAAGUACUAGAAACAAUAUAUUUUAUUAUGUUAACUUCUUGUGCUAGAAUGUUGUUUCAUCUAUUGUUGCUGAUUCAAAUGUGUGGAAUGCUGUGAUACAAAACCAAGAUUUUCAGGAUUUGCUCCAAUCACGCAGGAGUCUCGGUAAGAAAUUCGAUUAUGUAUUUGUGGUAUUCAUCCCAUGCUGCUGUAGAAGAUAUGCACAUAACUCCUUACUGUGUUGCUUUUGGCAGCUACUACUAUUCUCGAUCAGCCGUCUCUGGGUACAGUCGAUAAUGAUAUCUCAUUUGGGUCGAUUACAAAUUUUUUGCAGAUGAUGAAGGGGAUUGUGGUGGACGUGAUGGAUUGGAUGAUCCAUUGGUCCAUAUUGUUCAAGAAUUUAACUGAAGCUGAUCGAAUGCCUCAAAAUGACAAUGGAAGUACAAGAUUUGACUCUUCAAAUAAUUUGUUAAAAUCAAUCAUUGGGUUGGUAAUCUCGGUGAUAAUGAUGAUUUUGAUGAAACGUAAUAAAUAAUCUCUCUUCGAGUUGUAUAUAUUCGUCGAACUUUCCAUGCUUCCAUGUAUUACGAACUCUUGAAUUAGCAAUGGCUCUUGAAUUGCAUGACAUCAGGAGAAUUAUCUGUUUGUCUUUUUGUGAAUUGUCGCAGUUGCUUUUUAAUAAGAAUAAAGUAAUUUUAUGGUGUUCACUUUUCCUGUAGAAAUUCUUUCGUUCACUUAUUCUAGUUACACACGCUUACACAAAUAUAUGAAUGGUUUUGUUCAUUGUGUUUUUCUUCAUCUUUACAUCUUACUGUAGUAUAAAAAACAAGUGAAACAACUGUCGAACGGAGACGUUCAAAAAGAGUUAACAUAGAACAUUUUACUUUUGACAUGAGGAAAGAUUUACUAGGCACUAUUUUUUUUUUUUUUUUAAAUUUCUAUUAAACAAUUGUGAUGCACAACAUUAAUUAAUUGGUGAACAAAUUUGUGGUGGAUCACNNNNNNNNNNNNNNNNNNNNNNNNNNNNNNNNNNNNNNNNNNNNNNNNNNNNNNNNNNNNNNNNNNNNNNNNNNNNNNNNNNNNNNNNNNNNNNNNNNNNNNNNNNNNNNNNNNNNNNNNNNNNNNNNNNNNNNNNNNNNNNNNNNNNNNNNNNNNNNNNNNNNNNNNNNNNNNNNNNNNNNNNNNNNNNNNNNNNNNNNNNNNNNNNNNNNNNNNNNNNNNNNNNNNNNNNNNNNNNNNNNNNNNNNNNNNNNNNNNNNNNNNNNNNNNNNNNNNNNNNNNNNNNNNNNNNNNNNNNNNNNNNNNNNNNNNNNNNNNNNNNNNNNNNNNNNNNNNNNNNNNNNNNNNNNNNNNNNNNNNNNNNNNNNNNNNNNNNNNNNNNNNNNNNNNNNNNNNNNNNNNNNNNNNNNNNNNNNNNNNNNNNNNNNNNNNNNNNNNNNNNNNNNNNNNNNNNGCGCGAAACAAUUUAGCACGCCCAGUGGGACAGUGGUGUUUGGUGUUGAAGAUACAAAAGGUGAAACAAUAUGCCUCAGAAAUCCGAUAAGAAAGCAGCAAAUCAAGGAGGAGUCCAGUCUGUGAUCGAGCGAUAUGAAGAGCAGCAUAACUCUCCACAAACUAGGACAAUUGUGGGACAUAAUCCCCCAAUCCUAAAUCCAAGUCAAGGGUAGAAUCACAUUUCGGUCCCUCUACUUCAAACCAAGGGAAUGGUGUAAUGCCAAAUUAGAAUAAUGGUAAUGGUACGCCUAACUUAGGGAGUAAUCCAAAUGUAAGAGAUAAUGUCCUAAAUAACGGACAGAAUACCCCACGUGUUAACGAGGGAAUAAAUGUUCAGGCUAAUGGUAACAAUGGCCCAAAUCAUGGUAAUUUUAUUCCUAAUCAAGGACCAAAUAUCAGGCCUCAAGCAAAUCAACCGGUCAACCAACCUGUAGGGAUUCCAUAUGACCCCAACGUCAUGUUGAGGAAUCAGAUUAUGAAAAUCGUACAGGACUAGAUGACUUUUGGGGUACGUCCUGUCAUUAGGCCAACCUACACAAAGCCAUAUUCUGAUUGGAUAGACUAAGCAUAUCCAUGGCCUAAAGGGUAUAAAGUGCCAGAAUUCUCACUGUUUAACAGUUUAGGGGAGGUGUCUACUCUAGAACACAUAGGACGAUUCACACUGCAAAGUGGUGACGUAACUGAUUAUCAUAAAAUGAGGCUUUUCCCUAGUUCAUUAACAGGAGUAGCUUUCUCCUGGUUCAUCAAUUUGCCAGCGAAUUCUGUUCAAACAUGGCAACAAUUGGAACAAUUAUUCCACGCUCAGUUUUAUAAGACUGAGUCUGAAAUUACUUUGGUCAAUUUGGCGAACCUACGUCAAAUGCCAAACGAAUGGGCAGCAGGUUUCCUUCAAAGGUUCAAGACAGCAAGAAGUAAAUGUUUUAUACCUCUGAUCGAAAAAGAGUUUGUCAAAAUCGCUCAAGGUUGUUUGAGCUUUGAUUUAAAAAAGAAAUUCCAAGAUAAGGAGUUUCCUGACCUUUUCCAAUUGAGUGCGAACGUGAUUAGGUAUGAACGAUUGAUAAGAGAAGAAGAGCAGAUAAAAAAUUCUAGCAAGGGGACUUAUUAUAGAGACCUAAAUUUUGAUGUUCAUACCAUCAAUAACGAGUCAUACGAUCAGACCGAAAUGUGUUUGGCCGAAUUAGUCAAAGGAGACACGUAUACUUAUCCUAUAAUGGCUAAGCCUAGACCAUCGGGUAAGGAUGAGCCUAUGAAAGAUGAAAACGUAAAAGCUAGGACGUUCUCGUUCGAUGUAUCCAAAGUUGACCUUAUAUUUGAUAAAUUAUAUAAGGAUAAACAGAUAAAGUUGAGCGAUAAGUAUAAAUUGCCAAAUCCUGAACAAAUUAAGGGUAAAAAAUAUUGUAAGUGGCAUAAUGUAUGGUCACAUUUGACUAACAAUUGCUUGAUUUUUCGCCAUGUGUUACAGGAUGCCAUUAAAUUAGGACGAAUUACGUUCGAUGAUAAGAAGAAGAUGGCAGUGGAUGAAAAUCCUUUUCCACAGCCACUUGGAAUGAAUGUGGUGACGUCUGGUUUCAAAAAUAAGUUGCCAAAAUUCUAAUUGGUUGUAGAUGAUGGAGAAGAAGACAUUGGACCACAUCCCAGUGUCUUUGAACGUAUUAAAGGGAAGGAGCCAAAGAAGGAUGAAGACGUCUUAUGUGCAAGAUGUAAAAGAGAAGUGAGUGGGAAUACGGAGAAACCGGGGAUAUGGCAGCAUCCCCAUCGCCCUACUCUCCUCCCAAAUGCUCAGUCUGGUAGAGGGCGAGGUACAUCGUUCUACAAGAGACUGCCUUUUGAGAGGCAGUUCAGGCCAGUAGAUAAUGGGAGAACAUUCAGACCGCAACCUCGCCGACCAAAUGUAUGGCAUUCAUUCCAGUAUAAUGCAGGAAAGGCAAUACCCUUCGACGAGAUGACUAGAACCCAACAAAGGCGUUUCCAACGAAAUUAUGGACGAAUGAUGAGGCAACAACAGGGAGUGCCACUUCCUAAAGCGCCUAAACUACUCAAGGUAGCCAAUCAAAAUGUUCUCAAAGAUAGUGAAGAGACCAGGACAGAUGAAUCAAUGAAAGAGUUGCCAGAAACUUCUUCUGGGAGAUCGAAGUUUGAGCGAGACAGAAAGGAUGGAGAAGAUCCAUAUCAGCCUCUUACUAUUCAGUUCGGUACGUUACCUCAUGUUGUGGCUAAUAACUAUUUACUAGCCAAUGAGUUCAAGAAUAAAGAGAAAGAAGAAGAAGAAAGAGAGGAUAACGAAGGAGAAGCAUGCGUGCUGGAAUAUGAAGAAUGUCAGACUUCUAGAGAGGUCUACAAUGGUGAGGAAGAUGAUGGUAUGACAGACAUUGAAGAGGAAAUCGAUCUGGAAGCAGAAAGGAGAAGAAGAGGAAUAUCGCACAAUACUCUGUUGAAGCAACUACAUCGAGAGGGAGUUCGUGAAGUAGACUUAUUGGGAGAAGCAUCUGGGCGUUCUUUCGAUUUUUACGUACUGUACGGGACACCCAAAAGGAAGAAGAGAAUGUCUCGUUCUGAAAAGUAUGGAUCGCCUCCAAGAAUAAUGCCUCCUCCCAUAGGUUGGGUAAUUGAAGAGGAAGCAUCAGAAAACAGUAAAAAGGGAAUUUAGGAGACAGAGGCUCAGUGCGAUAUGCUGUAUGUUGACUUAUCACAAAAGGAUAACUCAACAGAGGACAAGCAAGAAGUAGAAAUAGAGGCUGCCGAAAAGGUUAUUUUUAAACGGCCAGCUAUGAAAUUGACUAAACACUUGAGGCCGUUGUACGUUAAAGCUCUAGUUAACGACAUACCUGUGGCAAAAGUGCUUGUUGAUAAUGGAGCAGCUAUAAACACCAUUCCAUCUAGGAUGAUGAGGAAAUUUGCAAAGAAAGAAGGGGAUAUGAUUCCAACAGAAGUCUUCCUUACAAGUUUCAAUGGAGGAGCAACUGCAGCUAAGGGAGUUAUGCCAUUGGACAUAACUAUAGGUACAACUACUAGGACCACAGUCUUCUUUGUAAUAGAUGGUNNNNNNNNNNNNNNNNNNNNNNNNNNNNNNNNNNNNNNNNNNNNNNNNNNNNNNNNNNNNNNNNNNNNNNNNNNNNNNNNNNNNNNNNNNNNNNNNNNNNNNNNNNNNNNNNNNNNNNNNNNNNNNNNNNNNNNNNNNNNNNNNNNNNNNNNNNNNNNNNNNNNNNNNNNNNNNNNNNNNNUGCAUGUUGACUUAUCACAAAAGGAUAACUCAACAGAGGACAAGCAAGAAGUAGAAAUAGAGGCUGCCGAAAAGGUUAUUUUUAAACGGCCAGCUAUGAAAUUGACUAAACACUUGAGGCCGUUGUACGUUAAAGCUCUAGUUAACGACAUACCUGUGGCAAAAGUGCUUGUUGAUAAUGGAGCAGCUAUAAACACCAUUCCAUCUAGGAUGAUAAGGAAAUUUGCAAAGAAAGAAGGGGAUAUGAUUCCAACAGAAGUCUUCCUUACAAGUUUCAAUGGAGGAGCAACUGCAGCUAAGGGAGUUAUGCCAUUGGAUAUAACUAUAGGUACAACUACUAGGACCACAGUCUUCUUUGUAAUAGAUGGUCCUACUAGUUACAUUGUGUUACUAGGAAGAUAUUGGAUACACGGAAGUCGCUGUAUACCCUCAUCGCUCCAUCACUGCUUGCUUUUUUGGAAUAACAAGGGUGAAGCAGAGGUGGUGCAGGCCGAUCAUAGGCCUUUUGUCGUAGAAGCAAACUUAAUGGAAAAGUUCAUGUAUGAAGGAAAUUAUGGACCUGUCAGGGUAGUACAAGAUGGGGAAGAAACUCAAAUUGUCGCGCAGAGCGAAGAGCCAUUUUCAGUGGACGCAUUCAUUGACAGAUGAGGCCAAAUAUAAUGGCCCUAGAAGAGCUAGUAAUUGGCAAAAGAAUAAUUAAGGAGCCUUGAAUGAGUUCUAAACAACAAGAGCAAAUGGCUGAUAUUCAGGCCUUCAAAGCCAAAUAAUGGCUUUCAAUAAAGAAUGCAAGGACAAGGUGAAAGAAGAGGCAGCCCUGAAAGUGCUGAAAGACAAAUUAGCAGUAUUCGAAUUGGAACAAAGUAUUGGCCAAAAAGUCAACAAGGUGGAUUGUUUAGAAGAAGAAAUGCUUACAUGGGAGCUGGACGAUAAAGUAAUGUGAAUCAUCAAGCCUGGAUACGCUCAAGCACAAGACCCUUUGAUUAAAGUAAAUAUUGACAAUGAAGGAGAAGAUCGUCCAACAUUCAUCAGCCAAAUGCUCGAUCAAGAUGUUAGUGAUAAAUUAGUCGCUUUGUUAAAUGAGUAUAAAGAUUAUUUUGCUUGGGAAUAUGAACAAAUACCUGGUUUAGAUAGAGACUUGGUGGAACAUAGAUUACCAACUAAGCCUAAUUUUAAGCCUCGUAGGCAACCUCCCAGAUCUUUUGCUCCUAAUGUACUCCAUGAGAUUAAGAAAGAGAUAGUGCGAUUAUUAAAAGCAGGCUUUAUUAGAACAGCCAGGUAUGUCGAAUGGAUGUCCAAUAUCGUGCCAGUAUUAAAAAAUAAUGGUAAACUAAGAGUGUGCAUAGACUAUACGAAUUUAAACAUAGUCACACCCAAAGAUGAGUAUCCAAUGCCCAUGGUAGAUUCUUUAGUAGACUCAACUGCCGGACACGUCAUGUAUUCUUUCAUGGAUGGGUAUUCAGGAUACAAUCAAAUUUAUAUAGUUGAUGAAGACAUACACAAAACUGCCUUUAGAUGCCUUGGGUCUCUAGGAUGUUUCGAAUGGGUAGUCAUGCCUUUUGGCCUGAAAAAUGCAGGAGCAACUUAUCAAAGGGCAAUGAAUUUAAUUUUUCAUGAUAUGAUAGGCAAGUUUGUUGAAGUGUAUGUAGACGAUAUAGUGGUCAAAUCCAUUAAAGAAGAGGACCAUUUCGAAUAGUUAAGAUGUUCAUUUGAGCGAAUGAAGCAAUAUAAGUUAAAGUUGAAUCCCUUGAAAUGUGCAUUUGGUGUUAAUGCAGGAAAUUUUCUUGGUUUCUUGGUACACAAAAGAGGGAUUGAACUUGAUAAAAAUAAAGCGAAGGCCAUUCAAGAGGCCAAACCACCUAGCAACAAAAAAUAAUUGCAAAGAUUUGUAGGCCAAGUAAACUUUUUAAGACGCUUUAUUUCUAACUGUGCAGGGCAAACUAAAGUCUUUUCGCCACUUUUAAAGCUGAAAAAUCAGGACGAAUUCGUCUGGAAAGAAGAACAUCAAAAGGCUUUUGAAAGCCUGAAGACAUAUUUAUCAAGUCCACCAGCGUUGGUGUCACCAAUCCAAGGACGGCCAAUGAAAGUGUAUAUAUCGGUUGAAAAAGAAUCAAUAGCUGGAAUGGUCGCGCAAGAAGACCAAUUUGGUGAAGAGAGGGCGAUUUACUACUUAAGUAGACGGUUAACAAAAUGUGAAUGUAAUUACUCUGCUAUCGAAAAAUUAUGUCUUGCAUUGUAUUUCACAUGUACAAAAUUAAGGGCUUAUUUACGGCCCGUAACCGUUUAUUUGAUUUCUAGAGUAAAUUUAAUUAAGUAUAUGUUCUUUCGCCCUAUUUUACACCAAAGGGUAGGCCUUUAGACAUUAGCUUUAUCAGAAUUCGAAAUACAAUACAUACCCCAAAAGGCAGUCAAAAAUCAGGCUUUGGCUAACUUUCUAGCCGAUCAUCCAUGCCUUGACAUGCCUGAAGAAAUUGAAUUAGAAAUCAAUUCAUUCGAGUUAAAACCUUGGGUGUUGUAUUUCGAUAGGUCAAAAACCUCUAAAGGUGCAAGAGUAGGAGUAGCAUUGAUAAAUCCUUUAGGGAUUUGCUACAAGUUUGCAUUCACUUUGGAUAGGAUGUGCACCAACAAUCAGGCCGAAUAUGAAGCCUUAAUCGUGGGCCUGGAACUAAUGAUAGAUAUGGGGAUAAUAAAUGUAAACAUUAGAGGCGAUUCUCAAUUGGUAAUUCACCAACUGAUUGGUGAUCUUAAAUGCCAAAGUGAUUCCAUCAUGAGUCAAUAUGAAAUCGCCCAAGAGUUAUUAGAAGAAUUUGACCAAAUAGAACUUCAAUGCGUUAAUAGGAUAUACAAUGACGUGGCAAAUGAGUUGGCCCAGAUGGCCUCAAGGUACUCAAAUGUUUUUAAUUGGAGGUCUGCUUGUGAAUAUGGAACAAUAUUACCCGUGAUCCAAAGAAGGACGAGAAGGAUUGAACUUCAUUGCAUACAAGAUGGAGAUGCAAUGGAUUGGAGGGCAGAAAUUAAGGAGUUCCUUAAAGAAUCUAAUAAAAGAGAUAGUAGAAAAAUGAAGUUGCGUUUACUAAACUAUGCACUGAUAGAUGAAGAGUUGUUCAAGAAACGCUCUGAUGGUAUACUGCUAAAAUGUGUAAGUUUGCAAGAAGUCAGGACGAUCAUGGCUGAAGUACACGAAGGGAUAUGUGGAGCUCAUCAAGCUAGCCAAAGGAUGAGAUGGUUAAUUAUUAGGAGUGGAUAUUUUUGUCCAAAGAUGAGAGAAUUAUGCGUUCAGUAUGCAAAGAGUUGUUUAACAUACCAAAAGCAUGGUCCAAUACAAAGGGCGCCAGCACGAGAGAUGGCACCUAUUAUUAAACCUUGGCCGUUCAAGGGUUGGGCGAUGACCUGAUAGGGAAGAUUUAUCCCCCCAUCGUCCAAACAACAUACUUUUGUUAUAGUUGAAACCGAUUAUUUCACUAAGUGGGUAGAGGUGGUACCUUUAAAGGAGAUCACCCAGAAAAAUGUCAUAGAAUUUAUGAACAAAUAAAAGCGUAACCAAAUCGCAUUGAACGAUCGUAGAGUAAAAAGGACCAGAGCAAAAUACGUUCAAAUAAAUUCUUUCAUUAAAUGUUCAUUACAAAACUGCGAAAUACAAGAUGCUAAAUGCUCUAUAAACUACGAUUAAGAGCAAACUAAUCUCCCGAUCGAUCGUCGAGUAAGAGGGUGUACUGGCCUUGAUCGCCGUCCUGAUCGCACUGCUGCAAAGGCAAGCAGAGAGGCCGAGAAGCACUCUCAACAAGCAGAAAGGAAGAUGAAGUGCUCUCACAUCGCCUUCCUAAAUGCAUCACUGCAACGACAAACAAGGAGGCUGAGAAGCACUCUCAACAAGCAAGGUGGCCUCCAAGCACCCCAAAAAAUUGUCAUCCAUCAUUGAACUCCUUGUAGGAACGGAGACGAUGGGAAGAACUUUGCUGCUGGCUAAAGAAUAUUUCCUAUAUCUCCCAUACCAAAGGUGACACCAAGAAAGAUGGCAAAGUGGGCGGAUCAGAUGAUCCAUUUCCAUGGAAAACGAAAGCUUUUGAUUGAUUGUAAAAAAUGCCAAGCAAUGGCAACAAAUUAGUUUUUUGAAGAAGAAAAUGGAAAUGAAGAUGGAAAGUAUGAAAUAUACGUGCAUUUAUAGAGAGGUGAAGGUGAAAAGACAAAAUAUGAGCAGCCAUAUUCGUGUCUAGUAAAUGGGAUUAAGUGGCCCAAAGUCGGGCAGAAAUAUCAAGAAAAAAUGUGCAAAAAUCUAUUUUUUAACAUAGAGCAGUUAAAUGCCUGAGUGAUUGACGAUUAAAAAAAAUGAACGUCGAUAAAUACACAAGAGGCUAAAAUAGUUAUUCAUUAACAAUGAUGGCUGCUGUUAUAUCAAUACAAGGUUACAAAGGGAAAGUCAAUACGAAAUUAUAAAACGAAAAAGUUAAGGCAUUAUAUGUCUUAAUUACAAUUCGCCCCAUACCAAACGAAUUCUUUCCCUAAGUUUCCCCCAGUCCUCGUUCUGCCGAGAAGAAGUGAUGUUCAAUUCAGCCACAACAUCAUCAUCAACUUCCAACUUCUUGUACUACUCGACCAAAGACUUAGUUCGCUCAAUUCCUUGGGAGGCAUUACGCUUUUUAGCAGCCAUUCUCGCAUUGCAGUCAUCCAUCUUGGCUUGGAGCUCCUUCAUCUGAGCAGCCAAACUAGUCAUCAAAGAGUCUUCAAUCAUGACUUCGGAGGAGAUUUCUUUCAACUCGUCCUCAACUUUGUUGAUCUCCAGUAGUAAAGACUCUUUUUCAGAUACGGCACGAAGAUAUUGAGUACUUUUGGCCUUCAUUUCAACAUUCUUGGCCAGCAAGGAAAAGACCUCGUAAUGGAUAACUUUCAACGUCGCUUUAAAAUCAGUAGAAAGAUUGAGCGACGGAAGUGUCAGUGCUUGCUCCAAUUUUGCAUUCAAAUGCUCAAGCUUAUCCUUAUGCCUAGCAGCACUAGCCCUGUCCUUACCGAUGUCCAUAUCCAUGAAGGACAUAUACUCAAAUAUCGACUGCUUGAGAAACUUCAUAUCGUCCUCUGAAGAAGCAGAAGGACAACUGGCUGAAGCAGGGCGAGAUGUUUUGACUUGCCCCUAGGAAGUGAACAAGUCUUGAAUGGAACACACAAUUUUAUCAGCAUCCUGCAAAGAAAAUCGCCAAUAUUGAAGGUUUCCACUACACUAAACAAAGUGGAGGUAAAGGUGAAGCAAAUAUGACCUCAUCAGCAAUCUUAGAAGAUGGCAUAUCCCCAGCCAAAUCUGCCACCUGUGGCUCCACCAUUUGUGAGGACUUUCCCUUGUCUAAGCGAGAAGACCUUGUCGCAACGGGCAGACUCAUGGGAACAUCUGCAGAACUCAAAAGACAACAAAUCAACACCUAUAGCACAAGCAAAGGUAAAGCAUCAAAAAAUGAAUUACCUUCUGUUUCGACGUUUGGGGGGUCAACGCCUUGGGAAGAAGGUGGCUCGUCCAUUAGUUGUGAUGAAGAUUCUGGGACUGAAGAUUUCUCUUUAAGCGUAGUCUCUUCAUCAGCUGGUUUGGAGCCCCAGCAGAGGAUAAUGGAGCAGGAGUUGCCAACACCAAAGCCUUCAGGGGAGAGGUUGAACUUUUCUGAGAGGUCCAAAUAAACUAUCAGCACAUGGAAAAGUCUCAAGAAUGGAAAGGUAUUCUUAUGAGUAAAUCGAUUUAAUUACCUUCCUCCUGACGAUGAGAGGGGUAUCAUCAUCAUCAUCAGCAUCAUCCUCCAAAAUGGGAGACGCUGAGGCUGGCUGUUUGCGGCUUGGGGCACUUUUAGCUGUAGUGGGCUUGGCAGGAAGAGAAGUCGAUGGACGGGCAGAUUUUUUAGCACGAGCAGAAGAAGAGGGACUCUUAAUGGACACAAGAGUGACCAAAACAGGAGAGGUGGAAGAAAUGUUUGGCUGGUCUAGUGAAUGGAAAGCACGAUUGGCAUCAGUCGUAAACAAUCUGCGUUUCACUGACGGCCAGAGUCGUUCAAAAAGGGGAUGGAUGACACGGCUAGGAUUGAAGGGGCUAAUGAAAAGUUGCUCGUCAAAAGAAGAUUGCGAGCAUUUAUAGCCUCUGCCUCUGCCUUAUUAAUGGUGUGGAAGCAAUCUAUCAAAUUCCUUGAAUAGCAAGGGGGAACGGGCCAAGUUUGGCCAAAACCAAGUUUCCGAGCAAAAAUUGCGGAGCAUAUAUCUCUACCCUAGCCUUGGCAUUGGUCCCAAUCAAAAUAUUAUGGAACAACUCCCUCCCGGUCAAAAACUGAAUCCAAACAAACAAGGAAGUGUUCGCUAUCCAGAGUGGAUGAGGGUUGCACAUAAUCUGAAGUCAAAAAGGGAGGAAAAGGAAAGAAGGAAGGGAUUGAAUCCAAAGUAUAAAAGAAUGAAAAAAUGUCCCUUUUAGACAUAUUUACAGGAGUCAGGGGCUCAAUGGCCAGCCCAUAGCAGCUAGCAGAAGGACUGGAAAAAGAUGGAGCACCGAGCGAUGGAAAAUAGACUCUCAACCACAUUUGAGCGAACCAAAGAGGCCCACUGCCAAUGGGAGAUACACCAUUCUUCAAUUGGGAUUGAAGAGAAGCCAUGCCUCUACAGAGGGCAGCUAAAAAGAAAGAACAUAAAUUCAGAAGCCUACCCGCGCCAAUUCGUGCGCUAUGAGUAAAUAGCUCAGGGAGGGCUUUAUGCUUGGCACACACAAAAUGUAUUUACAAAGCCAAAUCAGAAGAAAGACCACUGGCUCAGUAUGGGAAGGCUCAGCGUUCGAGUGGUUAUGAAGGGUUUGCAGACUUGAAUAAGAUUCGGUGAGGCCUUUACCAAAUUUUGGGGCAACACCAGAAAUCAAAAUACCAAGGAAAAUGGUAUCGCCCAAAGGUGGAGAUUUGUUGGGUUUUUGAUACCCAAUAAAUCCCGGGCUAUGAUGUUAACGUGGGUUAAUAUUAUUUCAUAGGCAUAGGCCGAUGAAUGAAAUAAGUCCAACAACCAAGUCCAUGAGCUACACCCGGCCCAAUUGUAUUCCUUAUGGAUGGCUUGAAUCUUGGCCCGUUUACCCCUUUAAUGGCCCAACUUAAAGCCUAACCCUAGAGUAUAUAUAUGAAUAUAACCCUAGCCUCUUUGAUAUGAUGAUUGUGUGAUUUUGAGAGAAGAAACUAGUGAAUCCCGGCUGCCCCCCUUUUGUGUGAGAAAAAGGUGUCCAGAAGUGUUCAGAACGCUUGUAUAACGUGUGCAAUUGGUGGUUCUUUCAUAGUAUACCUUUGUGGUGUCUUCUCCUAGCCUUUGUGGCCAUAAAUCAUCAUCCCUUCUUGUCCUACGUGGGUAAGAUUGUAUAGCAACCAAGGUGAAUCAAUUGGUUGUGGUUUGAAGCCGUUUGGAUUGGUUGUUGGUAGAGAAAGGUACGUUGGACUGAGCCUGGAAAACCACCGUUUGAAGAUCUUUUGAGAGAGCUUCCGCAACAAUUGGUAUCAGAGCUUCAAGGUGAAGGUUUUAGCUCGUGAAAUCUACCAGAAAUCGUCCAGAAAAUAGGCAGAAAUGCAGCAGAAAUCAGAUCGAAGAAGCUGUCCAAAAACUGUUUAAAUCAGUCUCCGUUUUUCGUGUUUUCUAAUCAAUCCAGAAGGAGUUUGGAGAAACGGAGACCACUGGCGUGACGUGUAGGAGGAGGGGAACCCUGCAGACCGGCGCGUGUUGAACGACGGCGGCGCCUGUGGUGGCGCGUGAGGCCCACGUGCAGAGAAGAGAGGGCGCGCGUGAGGGCGCGUGACGCUGAAUUUGGAGACGGUCUCUUCAGGCAGUUUGUUCCUCAUAUUAUUUCUGAUAUUUUUCGUGUUGGAAGUUUUUUGUUUCAGGGUACGCAGAAGAAUAUGGACAUCGUUGUUCUUCGGGCGUUCGGGACUCGAUCGUGAUUUUUUGGUUGCUGCAGUUUUCAGAGACUUUAGGAUGAACAGUGAUAAUCCUAAAGUGGUGAAUUCACAUGUCUCGAUAUUUACGGACCUUCAGAUGUGGUCCGCUCGGUAUCGUGUUCUUUAUUUUUUAUUAUUGCAGUUAAAAUUAAUAUGUAGGUUAAUUAUUUAUUUUUCGCAUUAAAAGUCAUCGUGUGGGGUGACGUUAGGUUUGGGGUAACCAUUGCUUGUUGCAUGACCUAGAAAUUACAUGUUAAUUAUCUUAAAAUUCUAUGUGAAUUUGUCACCAAUUUUUUUUCUACACCGAUAGAAUUGCAUGUGACCUUAGGAAAAUUUACUUGACUGUUUUGUGUGAAUUAUGUGUCAGUACUUUGCUUGUGGUCAUUAUUUGGUAUUAUUGGCAUGUAUAGAUUUAAGACAAAUGCGAAAAAUAAUAUAUAUUUUAACUGUGGUGAAAUUUGGAUAUAGUUGAAAGAGAUUGUCCUAGGAUGAUAAUAAAAGGAAAGAUGAGGAUAGAGACAAGGCGAAUAUGACUUUAGGGUCGAGUAGUGAUCCUAGUGAGGUUUAUUGAGAGAAUAAACCUGGUUUUUGCAUUGCAUCUGUGUGUAAUCAUUUCUGCAUGUAUGUGGUCACUUAAUUCUGUUGCGAUGUUGAUUUUACACUUUCAAUAUGUUUGAUGUGUGUAAUUGCAUGAAUUAGAGUGAUUUAUUACUUUGUGUAAUAUGUUUACAUGCAUCAGUGGGUUAAGUUUUGUGGCGUACUCUAUUUGCUCUGUAAGUGGUGUGAGAGUGUGGUAGUGAGAAGAAAGUUGGGCAGCCGUUUCUCUCCUUUAUCGUUGUGAGCCUGUGUGGUUUGUGAGAUUAUGUGAGGCAGCCAUGUUAGGGUUAUAUUCUUCCUCUUUGUGAGCCUCCUUUGUGAGUGUUGUGAAGUAACUGACUCUUUCUUCGAUUCUCUUUGAGAGUGCCACCUUCACUAUUUUCUUUGUGAAUUUUUGGGAGCAUUGGUGAGUGGAUUAACCUUUGUGAUCACCGAAAGGUGUUGUUUAGCCAUUGUGAGUUUGAGAUGCAUUAGCAGUGAGUUGGAUGUCUUUUGGUGAGGUGGAGUAUAGAUGCCUAGAGGUACAUGGUGGUUUGUACCGAGGAUGUAGAGUGUGACAUUUGGAUUACGAGUGGAGAUGUGAUCAAAUGUCUAGGAUCCUUUAUCUGGAAAGAGACCCUGAUCAGGUGGAGUGUGAGAGAGACACUUCUNNNNNNNNNNNNNNNNNNNNNNNNNNNNNNNNNNNNNNNNNNNNNNNNNNNNNNNNNNNNNNNNNNNNNNNNNNNNNNNNNNNNNNNNNNNNNNNNNNNNNNNNNNNNNNNNNNNNNNNNNNNNNNNNNNNNNNNNNNNNNNNNNNNNNNNNNNNNNNNNNNNNNNNNNNNNNNNNNNNNNNNNNNNNNNNNNNNNNNNNNNNNNNNNNNNNNNNNNNNNNNNNNNNNNNNNNNNNNNNNNNNNNNNNNNNNNNNNNNNNNNNNNNNNNNNNNNNNNNNNNNNNNNNNNNNNNNNNNNNNNNNNNNNNNNNNNNNNNNNNNNNNNNNNNNNNNNNNNNNNNNNNNNNNNNNNNNNNNNNNNNNNNNNNNNNNNNNNNNNNNNNNNNNNNNNNNNNNNNNNNNNNNNNNNNNNNNNNNNNNNNNNNNNNNNNNNNNNNNNNNNNNNNNNNNNNNNNNNNNNNNNNNNNNNNNNNNNNNNNNNNNNNNNNNNNNNNNNNNNNNNNNNNNNNNNNNNNNNNNNNNNNNNNNNNNNNNNNNNNNNNNNNNNNNNNNNNNNNNNNNNCUUGAAUCUUGGCCCGUUUACCCCUUUAAUGGCCCAACUUAAAGCCUAACCCUAGAGUAUAUAUAUGAAUAUAACCCUAGCCUCUUUGAUAUGAUGAUUGUGUGAUUUUGAGAGAAGAAACUAGUGAAUCCCGGCUGCCCCCCUUUUGUGUGCGAAAAAGGUGUCCAGAAGUGUUCAGAACGCUUGUCUAACGUGUGCAAUUGGUGGUUCUUUCAUAGUAUACCUUUGUGGUGUCUUCUCCUAGCCUUUGUGGCCAUAAAUCAUCAUCCCUUCUUGUCCUACGUGGGUAAGAUUGUAUAGCAACUAAGGUGAAUCAAUUGGUUGUGGUUUGGAGCCGUUUGGAUUGGUUGUUGGUAGAGAAAGGUACGUUGGACUGAGCCUGAAAAACCACCAUUUGAAGAUCUUUUGAGAGAGCUUCCGCAACAAAAGGAAGAAGAUAUUUGCAACCUUGCAGUAUUCUCUUUGUCGAUCAUUAAGACAUACGCCAUUUUUGUGCAUUCUUUGGGUACUGUUGGGUGUGAGGUUUUGCUCAUUUUGGGUUUCUUUUUUCCCUCCCUUUUUUGUGCAUGUUUUCAUUCAUUUCAUGCUGUAAGGAAUUUUAAAUGAUCAUAUGAACUUAAAUGUGUGAAUUAUUGUGUAUUAAAUUAGAGGCUAUCAAGUUCGGUUAAGCCCAGUUAAAAUGAUAUAAUAAAGUUUUGGUAUUUUGGGCUUUAAUGCAUCCAAUUAAAGUGUAUGUACUUUAUGUGCAGAGACUAGGCCCAAGUUCUUAAUUCUAUGAUGGGCUAAAUUAUGUUAAAGGGUAUAUAUAUAUAUAUAUUUAUUUAUUUAUUUAUACACACACACACAGACGGUUAUGGUCCCAAGAUCAUACAUGAAUUGCUCAUUUCGUUCUACCUCCUAUCACCAAAGAAAAUUAAGGGCUGCGUGUUGAUUUGGAAGACUAAAUCGCAAGAUUCAACUAUUGCAAUUAACCAUCUCUGGUUCAAGUCCGCUUCCGCUUUAAUUUACAUAUUCUUGAUGAAGAUCCGGUGAUUUUUAAGGUAAUAAUUUCUCCUAUAAGUGGUAUCAGAGCAUUUUCAUGUUGAAUCAUUGAAAAUCGAAUAAUUUAUUUGGUUUUUGCAAUAUUUUAUAGAGUUUUCAGAUUUGACAAUUUUUGAAUCUUUAUUUUGUUGAAUAUGAAAACUUUGCGAUAUAUUUUUCGUUAUUGUCUUUCAUAAUUCGGAUUAAUGGUUGAGGAACUUCAUAUUAUGGUUUUUUUUUUUGGAUUCAAUUUUUUUUUAAAAGUUCAAAAAUAAUACUUUUCGAUGGCUUUAGCCACGACGCCUGUGCAACCAGUGCAGCUGGGCUGGGCGUUGCCGACGCCACUACUCCAGGCGGCGUCGACGUGCGUCAUUAAGGAAAAAGAGAGGAGGAAAUUUUUCUUAGGGUUUUUAGUUGGGUUUUAAUGAUUUGGGGACGAGGGCUUGACUUCUAAAUUAGAUAACUUGAGGCCUCUUGGGGACGGGGUUAGUGUUUUAAAUUUAAGGUUUCAGUUCCUAACAUUUUAAAUGGUUUAAAAAUUAAUUAAUUCGGGUCAUUAAAGUGCUGAAUUUCAUAAUUAAAGCCUCCAAAGUUUAAUAGUCAAUUCAAAUUGGCCCCCAAAGUUUAAUUUGUUCUAAUUGGCACAUAAAGUUUUGAAUUGGUUAAUUUUUGGCCCCUAAAGUUUUAAAUUUAUUAAUAUUGGCCCAUAAAGCUUUCAAUUAAUUAAUUUUGCCCCCUAAAGUUUUGAAUUAUUAACCCUAAGGCACCUAAAGUUUAAAACUAAAUAAAAUAUACAAAAUUAGUGGUUUUCUUUCUCAAAUUUUUGUACUAAGGAUUCUUUCUAGAGAUACAAUAUUUGAAAGUGAAUUAAUUGAAACAACAUGCUGUCAAAGCAACCUCUCUUGUGGAAAUUAAUUAACUUAGAAUAUUAAAACGCGUUUGUGCAUGCGUUGUUCAUGCGAGUAUUGAUCGGCCUAAAGGAAUGUUAGUAUUUAGGCGAAUUGCGCGUGCUCCUAUGGCGAUAAACAUGUGACGAUUAUUUGAUUUAAUGUGUGAUCAAUAAAUCGGUCCAAAGAAAGGUUUAUUAAUUGACAUAUUAUUUUAUCGACAAUAUUUGAUCACUGCGCCAAGAUUACCACUUACAAGUUAAUAUUUUUGUCCAAAAACUAGAUAUUGACGUUGUGCUAGGUAUCUUGUGAUAGGCUCUACCACUAUUUGAGAUUACUAUUAUUUGCAUAUUAAAGAUAUUCAUGUGAGCUAUUCCAAUUAAUUGUUCUCUAAUUCAAUUUCAGGUUCUGCUGCUAAUAGCUCUGCUAGCAUCAAUUCAAUUCCAAUUCUUAAUGGCGCACACUUCAGGGCAUGGUAAGAGAACGUGAUGAUUGUUCUCGAAAUCAUGGACCUGAACAUAGCUUUAUGGGACGAUCAACUUUCUGCACUUACUAAUAAGAGUGUCACUGAUGACAAGAGGGAGAUGUAAAAAUGGGAACGAUCGAACCGCAUAAGUUUAAUGGUCAUGAAACGUGCUAUUCCAGAAGCAUUCCGAAGCAGUAUGUUCGAUAAGGUGACUAUGACUAAGGGUUUCCUUGAAAAUCUUGAGAAGAGGUUUGCCAAGAAUGAAAAGGCUGAAACUAGUACACUUUUGGCAAACCUUUUUGUCAGUGAGGUAUAAAGGGAAAUGAAACAUUUGGGAGUACAUAUGGAAAUUCUCACAUUGCUUCAAAACUAAAGACACUCAAGUUAGAUUUAUCUGAAGACUUAUUGGUGCACUUGGUUCUGAUAUCCCUUCUGACACAUUUCAGUCAAUUCAAGGUAAGCUACAACUGUCAAAAGGAAUCAUGAUUCUUUAAUGAGCUCAUCUCACACUGUGUCUAGGAAGAGGAAAGAUUGAAGCAUGAGAAGACAGAAAUUUCUCAUUAAGCUACCACCUCCAAGGGCAAAAAGAACAAGAAAAGGAAAAAUAAUAAGGAAGCUGCGAGUACAGCAUAAGAAACCAACUGAGGGUAGUUAUUUCUUCUAUAGAGCUGCAGGUCAUAAGAAGAAGAACUGUACCAACUACCACGCAUGGCGUGUAAAGAAAUUUAUUCUUCUUCAUUUGAUUUGUUCUGAGGUUAAUUUAACUUAGUACCUAGAUAUACAUGGUGGAUAGAUUCUGAUGCAACAACUCACCUUAGUGUGUCUAUGUAGGGUUGCCUGAGUUGUUGAAAACCAAGUGAUAGUAAAAGAUACAUCUAUGUUGGCGACGGCAAGACGAUGGAAGUAGAGGCAAUAGAAAAAUUUAGAUUAUUGUUGAAGAUAGAUUUCAUUUCAAUCUUGAUGAGACAUUUAUUGUACCGUCUUUUAAGCGAAAUUUGAUCUCUAUUUCUACUUUGAACAAAUUUGGUUAUUCUUUUUCAUUUGAGAAUGAAAAUUUUAGUAUGUUUCAUGAUUCAAAGUUUGUUGGUUCUGAUUCUUUAUCAAGUUACAAUAAUCUUUAUUUAAUUGAUACAAUUGCUUCCUUUAAUAAAACCUUACAUGUAAGUACUUUAGAUGUAAAGCAAAAGUUAAUCGGUGAGAAUUCUGCCUCGUUGUGGCAUAAGAGAUUAUGUCACAUCUCCAAGAGGAGAAUUGAGAGACUUGUGUCUAACGGGAUUCUCGACCCUCUUGACUUCACAUAUUAUGAUUUGUAUAUCAACUGUAUGAAGGAGAUUUCAAACCAACAGGAUUUCGGACGUCUUAGAACUUAUACAUACGGACAUUUGUGGACCAUUUCCUAUGGGUUCUUGGAAUGGUUAACUAUAUCUUAUUCAUGAAAAAUCACAGUCUUUGACCAUGGGGAUGAACAUUAUGAUAGAUAUGAUAAUUCAGGUGAACAACGUCUAGGGCCAUUUACUAAAUUCCUAGAGAAAUGCGAUAUCGUCCCAUAGUACACUAUGUUGGGUUCGCCUACUAUGAAUGGUGUUGCUGAGAAACGAAACAGAAUGCUUAAUGAUAUGGUGAGGAGUAUGACCUUACAAGAAUCUCUCUGGGGUGAAGUAUUAAAGACCGCAGCAUAUAUACUCAACAAAGUUCCAACUAAGGCCACUAGUAAACUCUUAUGAGCUUUGGACGGGCAAGAAGCCUAGUUUGAAGCAUAUACACAUUUGGGGAUGUCCAACUGAGGUAAGGCCCUAUAAGCUAAAUAAAAAGAAAUUGGACACAAAGACCAUCGGUUGCUAUUUUAUUGGAUAUUAUGAAAGGUCCAGGGGUUGCAAGUUUUAUGAUCCCACAACUAAGGUAAUUUUCGAGAUAAGAAAUGCUCAAUUUUUUGAGGAUGUUGAGUUUGUGGGGGUAGAAAGGGUUACAGACUUUGUCUUUGAGGAGGAAUAUGUUGAAAUUCCUUCAAUUUUCAUUGAUAAUGAUUAGGUUUCUAUUCCUAACAUUGUUUAAGAAGCAACUCCGGAUCAAGACAAUGCCGUAUUUCCCUCUCAAGGCAACAAAUUAUUCCAGAAGAACAAAUCUACAGCCUCAAGAACCAAUGUCAUUAAGAAGAUCCACUAAAGAGAGGAGAAGUGCGGUUUCAGAUAAUUACAUCGUAUUUCUCCAAGAACAUGAAGUUCACAUUGGAAUGGUGGAAGAUGGUCCGAUCAACUUUCGUCAAGACAUGGAAAGUUCUAACUCUUAAAAGUGGCUCGAUGCCAUGAAUGGAGAGAUAAAGUUCAUGAAGGAUAAUGACGUGUGGGACCUCGCUCCAUUGCAUGGAGGUGCGAAAUCCAUUGGUUGCAAAUGGAUAUUUAAGACCAAGAGGGAUUCGAAAGGUGAUGUAGAAAGGUAUAAGGCUCAUCUGUCACAAAUGGCUUCACACAGAAAGAAGGUAUCGAUUAUAAAAAGACUUUCUCUCCGAUUUCUUCGAAAGACUCUUUCAGGACUAUAAUGACAUUGGUAGCGUAUUUCGAUCUUGAGUUACAUUAGAUGGAUGUUUAAAACUGCGUUUCUCAAUGGUGAUAAUGAUAAAACUAUUUAUAUGGCACAACUAGAAAACUUCGUACCGGAUGAUGCAAAGCAAAUAAUUUGUAAACUAAAGAAAUCCAUCUAUGGACUCAAACAGGCGUCUCGUCAAUGGUAUUACAAGUUUCAUCAAGUGAUCAUCUCAUUUGGUUUUGACAUGAAUUUGGUCGAUAAUUGUAUAUGCCACAAGUUCAGUGUGAGCAAAUAUAUUUUUCUGGUUUUAUAUGUCGAUGUCAUAUUGCUUGUCAAUAAUGAUAUAAGCUUAUUGCCCGAAAUCAAGAGAUUUCUAAUAAAGAAUUUUGAGAUGAAAGAUCUUUGUAACGCCUCUUUUGUAUUAGGAAUUCAGAUACUCCGAGAUUGUUAUUGGGGUAUUCUUGGAUUAUCACAAAAGAGCUAUAUCGAAAAGGUACUUAAAAGAUAUGGCAUGCAAGAUUGUAAACCAGGUGACACCCCUGUGGCUAAAGGAGACAAGUUCAAUUUAAGUUAGUACCCUAAAAAUGACUUGAAAAUUAAAGAAAUGCAGAAGAUUUCUUAUUCCUCAGCUAUAGAGAGUCUGAUGUAUUCUCAAGUUUGUAUGAGGCCGGAUAUAGCGUACAUUGUUGGGAUGCUAGGGAGAUAUUUAAAUAAUCCGAGAAUGGAUCAUUGAAAAAUAGUUAAAGGGGUCAUGCGGUAUUUACAGAGCACAAAGGACUACAUACUAACAUAUAGGAGACGAAUCAGUUGUAGAUCGUUAGUUAUUCUGAUUUUGAUUUCGUGGGAUGCCAAGAUAGUAGGAGAACCACUUCGAGCUAUAUCUACUUACUUGCUGGAGGUGCUAUUUCUUGGAAGAGCGCUAUCCAGACACUCAUUGCUACUUCCACCAUAGUAGCGAAAUUUAUAGCGUGUUAUGAGGCAUCGAAUCAUGGAAUAUGGAUGCGUAAUUUUGUCACUGGGUUGCGUAUUGUGGACAAUAUAGAAAGAUCGCUCAAGAUAUUUUGUGACAAUAAAUCAGCAGUACUGUAUUCCAAUAACAACAUGAGGGUGACGAAAUUAAAACAUAUAGAGAUCAAGUUCCUAGCUGUUAAAGAAAGAGUUCAGAGUGGACAGGUGUCAAUAGAGUAUACUGGGACAAACUCCAUGGUUACAGAUCCGCUUACUAAGGGAUUGAUACCCAAGGUCUUUCAUAAGCACACUGCUCAUAUGGGUGUAAUGUCUCUUGAAGAUGUUUAGUUUCAGUGGGAGAUUGUAUUUUUGCUUUUCAUAUUGGACACAUGUACUGUUAUUUUGGAUAUGGUUUAUGAUUAAAAUUAUUUUUAGUUAUAAAAUUUUGGUUUAUUAUCUCUGAACUUGUUUUAAAUGAUCCCACUAAGUUAUUAAGGUAGACCAGUUGGAAAUAGGCAUGUUACAGAUCACAUCACAUGUACUUUCCAUGCUACACAUCCAUACUUGAUCCAUGUCAUUCAGUUAUAUUGAUAUACAUGACCAUUGCUGAGUUUAGUUACGAUGAAACAACGAAAGCCGCCUUGAUCCUAUGUUCAGAUGAUUGAUGGACGGGAUUGUUUGGAGAUACAUUCGGUAAUAAUAGCGAAAUUCUGAGUACUCAUAAGGUAAUGUUUAAUGCACAAUUAUAAGGCGAGACAUAUAGCUCAAGUGGGAGAUUGUAAGGAUUUUUAAUCCAUCGAUGGGCUUAUAUAUGUGAAUAAUUGUGUGUUAAAUUAAAGACUAUCAAAUUCAGUUAAGCCCAAUUAAAGUGAUCUAAUAAGGCUUCAGUUUUGAGCUUUAAUAUACCCAAUUAAAGUGUGAGUUUACAUUUAUGUAGAGACCACACCCAAGUCCUAAUUCUAUGAUGGGCCGAAUUAGGUCAAAGGGCGUCGCUAUAUAUGAAUAGGUUAUGGUCCCCAGAUCACACGCACGUAUUAUUCAUUCUCUUCUGCAUCCCAUCACAGAGAGGAAAAUGAGACUGCGUAUAAAUUUGGAAGACUAUACCACGAAAUUCAUUAUUGCAUUAAUCAUGUCUGAUUCAAGUACGGUUAAUUGGUUGAUUCAAUAGUGGGCUUUUUCACUCUAUUUUCUAAUAUUUAUUGACUUUUUGGCCUGCAGUAGUGUUGAAGUCUUUCGAUUGUGGAAUCUUGAGUUGUUUUGGACUCUUUGAAAGAUGGCGUUGCAGAAUUUGGGUAAAUUGAAGAGUACUUCAGAAGAAAUUUUCAUGCUUGUAUUUCAAUGUGUUAAAUGUCUAAUGUAAUAUAAUUUUUCAAAUAUACAAUCAAUUUUCCUUUUUGUCAAAAGAGAUUCAUGUCAGCCACUAAAACUGAGAAAAAAGUAGAAAAAAUGAUCUGAUCUUUUCCCAAUUAAUGUUGAAGUCUUAAUCAAUACUCAUAGGAUAGUUAACCUAAACUAUGAUUUAGAAGAGGCCGAGUUGGUAGCCAACUGCUAAAAAUCUCUCUUAAAGUCUUGGUUAAAUAACUUAAUUGUGGUUUAGGAAGUGUUCAGUUUAACCUAGUACAUGUACAAAAUUGUUGACAUAUAAUUUUACUUGUACAGCUGUAGUAUAACUAAUUCCGGAGUAUAUGAUACACAAGAUGUGUUGAAGAUAGGCUAAGGGCUACCCGUUUAGCUAAUAUGCGUUGCAGAUCAAGUUUAAAUAUAUCGUAUGCAAAAAUAUAAACUUUCAAACACUUGAGUCAUGAUAUGUACUUUCCAUAUGAACUUAGUUCCAAUGUGGAUUACUUUUGCCAGGGAAAUUUUCAUAACUUUGUAUCAAUUUUCUGGGUGUGAAGUUGUAUUAGAGAUGAAAUCAAUGUUAAUGUAACAGGGCAAUCCUCAACUAUUCUAUGGAAUUACAGGGUUGUAUUUGUAGUAACAAUAAGAUUCAUUUGCAUUCCUUUCCAAUUCUUGAUUUGAAGUUCCAAGUUUUUCCCCAAAAUCUUGUGCAAUCAAGUUCUUCUUCUCUAGUUUUCAUUUAAGAUAGGCUAAGGGCUACCUGUUUAGCUAAUAUGCAUUGCUGAUCAAGUUUAAAUAUAUGGUACGCAGAAAUGUGAACUUUCAAACACUUGAGUCAUGAUAUGUACUUUCCAUAUGAACUUAGUUCCAUUGUGGAUUACUUUUACCAGGGAAAUUUUCAUAUCCUUGUACCGAAUUUAUCUCUAGAAGCACUAAAAAAUCAUCGACGUGUAAUUUUUCAUCACAUUUUAUUUGUGGCUUGUCAGUGCACAUGUAAGUACUGAUGAAGAAUUAAAUGUCCACUAAAUUCAAACAUGGAGACCCACAAAAGUUGAAAAUGAGAGUGCAAAAUGAGAAUUAGAUGGAAAAGAAUGGGGAGCAAACAUCCGCAUAAUUUGGUUUACAACCAAAAUAAAAUUGUAUUUUCUCUCAUAGGAUAUCUCUAUAAUAGCUAGACAAGCACAUCAAUAAUAAAUAAAAUGGUCAUCACUCGAAAUAAUUGUCAAUUUUAACAACUUAUAAAUACAUUUCACAUAUGAACGAAUUCUUCUAAAUUUUAUAUACGCACUUAUUUUAUAUAUUUCCAGACUAAUGUUGCACAUUCAUCCCACUAGUCAUUAACAAAAACACAAGUAUCAAUUAUUAUAUAUAUAGACAUGCAUAAACCAUGAAAAAAAAAGAAAAAGAAAAAGAAAAAGGAACUAUGUUCAAUUAUGUGCGCAAAAUAGAGAAGAUCAUCAGAAUUAAAGAAGCAUAUAUCCCUACCCCCCCCCCCCCCCCCCCCCCCCCCCCCCCCCCCCCCCCNNNNNNNNNNNNNNNNNNNNNNNNNNNNNNNNNNNNNNNNNNNNNNNNNNNNNNNNNNNNNNNNNNNNNNNNNNNNNNNNNNNNNNNNNNNNNNNNNNNNNNNNNNNNNNNNNNNNNNNNNNNNNNNNNNNNNNNNNNNNNNNNNNNNNNNNNNNNNNNNNNNNNNNNNNNNNNNNNNNNNNNNNNNNNNNNNNNNNNNNNNNNNNNNNNNNNNNNNNNNNNNNNNNNNNNNNNNNNNNNNNNNNNNNNNNNNNNNNNNNNNNNNNNNNNNNNNNNNNNNNNNNNNNNNNNNNNNNNNNNNNNNNNNNNNNNNNNNNNNNNNNNNNNNNNNNNNNNNNNNNNNNNNNNNNNNNNNNNNNNNNNNNNNNNNNNNNNNNNNNNNNNNNNNNNNNNNNNNNNNNNNNNNNNNNNNNNNNNNNNNNNNNNNNNNNNNNNNNNNNNNNNNNNNNNNNNNNNNNNNNNNNNNNNNNNNNNNNNNNNNNNNNNNNNNNNNNNNNNNNNNNNNNNNNNNNNNNNNNNNNNNNNNNNNNNNNNNNNNNNNNNNNNNNNNNNNNNNNNNNNNNNNNNNNNNNNNNNNNNNNNNNNNNNNNNGAAAUAAUUGUCAAUUUUAACAACUUAUAAAUACAUUUCACAUACGAAUGAAUUCUUCUAAAUUUUAUAUACACUUAGUUUUAACAUUUCCCGACUAAUGUGCUACGCACGUUCAUCCCACUAGUCAUUAACAAAAACACAAGUAUCAAUUAUUAUAUAUAUAGACAUGCAUAAACCAUGAAAAAAAAAGAAAAAGAAAAAGAAAAAGGAACUAUGUUCAAUUAUGUGCGCAAAAUAGAGAAGAUCAUCAGAAUUAAAGAAGCAAAUAUCCCCCCCCCCACCCCACCCCGUUCUCUCUAGACGGUAUGUUAUUCAAAAUUGAUGCUUCGAUUGCAAGUAUUUAAUUGUAAUUGAAAGAUUUAUUACUUUGAUUACUUAAUCUAAAAGUCUUUUGACUCUUUGGUGAGUUCAACAGUAGAAUCAAACAUCUUUGAUUUUGAUUGUGGGACUAGCUAGCUGGUUAUUGUUUAGGUUGGAAUUUAUUUUGAUCUUUCCUUCACUAUUUUUUUGCUUUCUUUCUCUCCAAUACCAAGUGCCACCCAUACUUUUGCUUUCUUUCUCUCCACUACCAAGUUCCACUACCAAGUGCCACCCAUACUUUUGCUUUCUUUCUCUCCACUAUCAAGUGCCACCCAUACUUUUGCUUUCUUAUAAUAAAUGGGGAGUCUCAUACUUUUGCUUUCUUUCUCUCCAUUUCUCUCAAUUCUCCAAUCCUUUAACUCCACCUUCUUCCCUUAUUUUAAAUGGUCGAGAUCGACGGCUUAUUAAAAAAAUGGAGACUUUGCCAAUGAAAAAAGAAAGUACAAAUCAAUCAAUUUUGUGAAUUAAAAAAUUGAUAUCAUAUAAUUUUUGUUUCACUGUCCACGCUCUAUCACGUUACUUGUUACCCAACCCAUUGUUUAGUAUAAAUUCAGAGUCUUUUAUCGAGAAAAAUACUAGUAAUAAGCUAUGGCAGGAGCGAUGAAGGCCGCGGCGAAGGUGACUAGGACAUUGCUCAUGAAUGGAGGUGGCCGACAGCUCACAGUAGAGAACCACCCGGUCUCGGUUGCUGCUGUGUCCACCCACUCAUUGACAGCGAUGGACGUGCCACUGAUGGCUUCUUCGUCACAAUCGAAUGAGGAGCUGAGGGUUACGGCGCCCACUCUUCGGGAAGCAAGAGAAGCAACUUCUGAACUAUCACACGCUGGUCGAUUGUAUGUUACAGAUCAUUUUCGAUUUUAAAAAUUAGAUUUUUACUGUUUUAUUGAAUUUCAUCUCCCUUUAGUCCAUUCUUGCGAAUAAAUUAGUCAAGCCUUGGUUCUGAGAGGAUGUGAAUAAGUGAUUAUGUAUUUAUUAUUUGGAACUUUCAAGGGUUCUUUCUUAAAUUUUCAGAUUUCUAGCUUCAUCUAAUUCUGAUCGACAUGAGGACAUGGCAGUAGGAGAUCAACAUCCAAACUCACUGCUGCAGUCAAACUUACAUUUGCCUACGGCUGCUAUUCAAGCAUUUAAUCUUCUAAAUGAAAGCCCACAAGUUCAGGUUUUUCUGCUGACAUCUCUCGUUUUGCCUAGAAAGUUCGAAUAGAAUAGGUACUUAUACUAAGGGUCCGUUUGAUUGCAAGAAUGAAAUUUGGGUAGAAAAAAAAAAAAGAAUUCCAGAGAGUUAAAUUGCCUAAAACUUGUUUUACUGGGAAUUGUCAAUUAAAUGUGUUUGAUUUGUAGUUGGAAAAUUUGGAAAUUUUGGAUCUUUUGAUGUUCAUUUGACUUUGUUUUUCAUGAAAAUUGUCGAUUAAAUAUAUAGAUUUUUUUUUUUUUUUUAACAAUUGUGAAUAGAAUUUGUUUCCAUUGCCAUAAAUAAAUAAAGGCUGAAAACCCCGUUUUCUCAUCAAAACCCAAGGAAUUUGAAUCCCUUCAAAACUAAUAAAAUGAUGCCACGUGAGGGAGAAGUGGAAAAUGUAUUACCUGAAAAAUUUUGGGAAUCAAACGAGAAAUUGGGUGGAAAAUAGAAAAAUUCCAUGGAAAAUGGCUCUAUAAAAGAAUACUCUAAGUGUAGUAAUCUCACAUCUCUGUUCAAGUAUUAUAUCAUAUUUAUUGUCUGUUUCGAUAGAGUCUAGAGUCUUUGAGAACUUAUUGUCUAUUUCGAAAGAGUCUAUUAUAUCAUACUUAUCAUAGAUAUCCGUACUCCUACAGUUUUUGAGAACUUGUCAAUAAAUCAACGGAAAGCUAAGUCCGUGCUUCACCAUAGUCCACUUAGAAUUGCUUUAUCCCCAAGGUCACUCUCAAGAGUAUCAUUGGACGCCCAUCUUCUUAGCCCAUAUUUAGUGGGUAUUAAAGUCAUUUUUUUUAGUAAAUUUUAAUAAAAAUUGAUGAAAUGUAUUGGUGAAAAGUUGUGAAUCCCAUACAAUAUGUGUUUUAAAAUUAAUUGUUGAUAUUGACUUAAAUUAAAAUCUGGCAUCUGUCUCAUAAGAGACUUAAGUUAAAUUUUGGUACAAAUUGGCUAAGUUAUUCAAUUGAUAAUAGAGUUUAAUUUAAAUCUCUCAUAAGCUAAAAGAUUUGAACAUAGAAGUUCAGGUCACUACAAAAAAUGUUUGAGAUUUUAAGACACCUCGUACUUUUGAGAAUUACUGGAAACAAUAUAUUUUAUUAUGUUAACUUCUUGUGCUAGAAUGUUGUUUCUUCUAUUGUUGCUGAUCCAAAUGUGUGGAAUGCUGUGAGACAAAACCAAGACUUUCAGAAUUUGUUCCAAUCACGCAGGAGCCUCGGUAAGAAAUUCGAUUAUGUAUUUGGUCAUCCCAUGCUUCUGUACAAGAUAUGCAUGUAAUUCUUUACGUGUUGCUUUUGGCAGCUACUAGUAUUCUCUAUCAGCCGUCUCUGGCUACAGUCCAUAAUGAUACCUCAUUUGAGUCGAUUAAAAAUUUUUUGCGUGAGUCGAUUACAAAUUUUUUGUGGACGAUGAAGGGGAUUGUGGUGGACGUGAUGGAUUGGAUGGUCCAUUGGUCUGUAUCGUUCGAGAAUUUAAUUGGACCUGAUCGAAUGCCUCAAAAUGAUGAUGGAAAUACAAGAUUUGACUCUUCAAAUAAUUUGGAAAAAUUGAUCACUGCAUUGGUAGUCUCGGUGAUAAUGAUGAUUUUGAUGAAACGUAUUAAAUAAUCUCUCUUCAAGUUUUACAUAUUCGUCAAACUUUCGAUGCUUCCAUGUAUCACAAACUCUUAAAUUAGCAAUCGCUCUUGAAUUGCAAGACAUCAGGAGCUUAUCUGCUUGUCUUUUUGUGAGUUGUUGCAUUUGCUUUUUAAUAAGAACCAAGUAAUUUUGUGGUGUUCAUCUUUUCUUCAGAAUUUCUUUCAUUCAGUGGGUUCCUAUUACACACGCUUACACAAAUACAUGAAAGAUUUUGUUCAUUUUGUGUCUUCAUCUUUACACCUUACUAGUAGUAUAAAAAACAAGUGGAACAACCGCCAAACGGAGACGUACAAAAAGAGUUAACAUAUAACAUUUCACUUUUGACACGAGGAUAGAUUUACUAGGCAAUAGUUUUUAAUUUCUAUUAAACAAUUGUGAUACACAACAUUAAUUAAUUGGUGAAUAAAUUUGUCGUAGAUCUCAAUAAUUAAUUUAGAUUUAUUGAAUUGAUAGUCAUGUUAUUAUUGCUCAACUUAUACUAAAUACUAGCUUGAUAGAUUAUUUCUUUAUUUAACAUCAUUAUACAUUCUUAUCUACUAUCCCGCGAUCUUUCAUUACUAAUUAGUCACACUUUCUUAAUUGCAAGUUAUACGUAUUAUCUUCUAACUUUAUCUUGAAUCGAAACUUUCUCAAGAGAGAAUCAGAUGCAUAGCCAGGAUUUUUAACUUGGCCUGACAUUACAUUGGGGUCACUCAGACUGUCGAUGACGUGACACCGUUUCGUAAAGAGAUUAAUAUUCGUAACACGUGGAAUAAGUAAUAAUAGCUAAAUGGAGAAAAAAUUUAUUUAUGUCAAUAUUCUUUAUAUAUAUAUAUAUUACUCGUUAAGGGGGGAAAUGGUGACAGAUAGCUGUCUGACUUUGCCAUUUUUCUAAAAUGGCCUUUGACAAAAAAAAUUUCAUUAAAAAGAAAAAAAAACUGAAAAUGUAAACAAUACCCAAAUGUCGAAAAUACCCCCAAAUAAAGAGAAGAGAAGAGGAGAAAGAAAGAGAAAACUAAAAAAAGAAAAUCACCAACACCACCUACAGACCGCUCAGAUCGAACCCAUUUCAACCAUUUGCUCGAGAUCGUCAUUUCUCAAAGAUUAGAUUUGUUUCUUUGUAAUUUACUCACCAUUGAGACCUAACAUAUGUGGGAAUUUGAAUGUUUGAGUUUAAUACAUAAAAAUUUGAAUGUUUAAUAUUUGAAUAUGUUAAAUUAUGAGUUUAAUACAAAUUUUUAUAGUUAAAAUAGAAGGAAAAGUCGAAUUAGAGGUUGAGUUGAUUAAGAAAAGUGAAAAAAUGGGAAAGAGCUCGUGGAAAUGGAGAUUUCAGACGAUUCAGACAACGAUGUCACCGUAUGGAUCCAGACCAGCCAGACAUCUGGAUCCAGUCGUCUAGAUCUCGACAUCUGGGUCGUCCGGAUCCCAAAUGUCUGGGCCAUUUCGAUUGGCCUGUGCCAGCUAUUUUUUUUAAAUAUUGAAUUUAAUUGUUUAUAAAUAUUUCAUGAAUUAUGUAAAUUGUUUAUUUAAGUAAAAUAAUUAAUUAUUUUUUAUUGCAUUUUAUUUAAAAAAUAAAUAAUAUAAAUAAAAAAUAAAUGUAAUAAACAAUUGAAUAUUCAAUAAACAAUUAAAAUAAAUAAGAAAUUAAAAUAAAUAAUUAAAUGAAGUAAAUAAAUAUGAAAUAAACAAUUAAAAUAAGUAAUUAAAUAGAGUAAUUAAAUAUUAAAUAAACAAUAUACAUAACCAAUUAAAAUAAUUAGUGAAAUAUUUAAAUGAAAAAUAAAUUAAAUAUUAAAUAAAUAAUUUAAUAAAUCAAUAUUUAAUUUAAUUGUUUAUGUAUAUUAUUUGUUUAUUUAAAUAUUUCAUGAAUUAUGUUAAUUAUUUAUGUAUAUUUUUUAUUUAAGUAAAUAAUAACAAUAACUAAAUAAGAAACUAAUUGAAAUGAUAAAUAACUAAUUGAAAUAAAUUCAAUAAAGAAAUAAAUUAAAUAUUAAUUAAGCAAUAAAAAUGAUUACUUAACAUAAAUAACAAAUAAACAUAAUUAAUAAAAAAUAGUUUAAAUAAGUAAUUAAAUAUUAAAUAAAUAAUUAGCAUUUAACUAUUAAAUAAACAAUUUAAAUGAACAAUAAAUAUAAAUAAUAAAUAAGAAGUAAUUUAAAUAAAUAAUUAACAUUUAAGUAAUAGAUAAAUAAUUUAAAUGAACCAUAAAUAUAAAUAAUAAAAAUAAGUAAUUAAAUAUUAAAUAAACAAUUGAAACAAAUAAUUAACAUUUAAAACAAAUAAUUAAACAUUCAAUUAACAAUUAAAAUAAAUAUUUAAUAAACAACUAAAAAAUUAAAAUAAAUAAUUUAAAUACACAUUUAAAUACCGAAUAAAUAAUUUAAAUGAACAAUUUAAAUCAUUAAUUAACAAUUAAAUAUUAGAUAAACAAUUUAAUUAAGUAAAAUAACAAUGGCACAAUUAGGAGACAUAUUCAAGGAAUGCGACAAUAUGUUUGACAAGUUGAAGCUAGGGAUGAUGUUUAUAUUGUAGAGAGCAUACUGAAGUGUCAUCACAAGAAGACGUCAAUCGACGUAUUUCAUUUGGAGGUUGUUGAUGACAUUGAUAUAUUCAACAACUAUCCAUGGGGACAGAGCUGACAGUUAUCAGCUCUCCUCGACGAUUCUGAGGUACGUAUAUUCAUUUGUGAUUUUAUGUUGUAUGUCAUUUUGAAAACUCGAUGCAUGGUUAUUAACUCAGUAAAAUGUUAAUAUGUCAGCUUAAAGUGCUCACUGAGUUGACACUGUUGAUUGAGAAGGAGGGUCAGAGUCAUAUUCGAGGAGAUACAGUAGGCAGGCGAUGAGGUCCCAAACAGUGACAGAAGAGAGGGUGGCGGAGAUGGUGACAGGGUGGGUAGCGAUGAAGGGCUAGGGAUGUACACAUAUGUUUCAUUAGAAUCGUUAUGGAUGUGGAUGGGAGAGGUGUUGGUGGAGGGGACGAAAUGAAUUAGAUAAAUGGAUCGGAUCUGCUCAAAUCCGAUUCGAUCCGUUAAGAAUAAUUAUCCUAUCCCAUCCGAUCCAAUAAUCCGACGAAUAUUUAAAUGUUAAAUUCAUAUUUGAUUAACUAUGUUAUCGGAUAUCCGAUCCGAAAUUGAAAAAUUAGAAAAAUUUCAUUGAAAAUCAUAGCCUCGACAAGAUUUUAAUUAUUUAUUUAUUUUAAAAAAUAUUCGAACUAUAUUGAUGGGCUCACUUAUUAUAUUAGAAGACCCAAAUCUUAUUAUUAUUAUUAUCAUCAUCAUCAUCAUCAUCUAAGUGAUGUUUCUUUAACUCAUUUCCAAAAGAAACUCCUUUGAGAAUGUUUUAGUGAUAUCGGAUAGGAUCGAUCUAUAUCCAUAUUUGAUUCAUUUAAUUAACGGAUUAUUGGAUUCGAAUCUUGAUUGGGUUAUCAGAUUAAGACCCUAAAUUCAUCUCCCAUUAAUUUCGUCGGAUUCGAAUCAAAUUCGAAUCAAAUUGAAGUAUAUUGAAUUUUUAGCAUCGGACGUGGCGUAGAACUGAUAAACUAAACACACAUUAAAAUUUAAGCAUUUUUUUAAAUGUGAGCUUUCUUUUAUGUACACUGUGAUUCGUAGUUGUAAUAAUUUAAAAUGUCACCAUUUCUUUUAUGUACAUUGUGAUAUUUUCAUGCACCAUGUGAUUUAUAUUCUAAUUAAAUAUAAAAUAAUUAAAUUAAAUUAAAUAUUAAUUUUCUAUUCGAAUAAGUGAUUAAAUAAAUAAUUAAAUAAAGUAAUGAAAUAUUAAAUAAACAAUAUACAUAACCAAUUAAGAUAAUUAAUUAAUGAAAUAUUCAAAGAAGAAAUUAAAUUAAACAUUAAUUUUUUAUUUGAAUAAGUUUUAAAAUAAAUAAUUGAAUAAAGUAAUUAAAUAUACAUAACCAAUUAAAGUAAUUAAUAAAGAAAUAUCUAAAUGAGAAAUCAAAUUAAAUAUUGGAUAAUUCUAUAUAUACUAAUUCAUAAAGAUGUCCAUAAUGUACACGUGAAAUUUCAUGAGUGAAGGAUCGAAAAACCUGUUUUUCAACUCUUCGAUAAUAUUAUGUCACUUAUACAUUAUGAUAUAAUGUUUUUGUUUAAAUAAUAAGCAAGUAACGGAGUCAUUAUUAGUCCAUUUGUGUGCUUUCAAAUUAUUACCUCAAGUUGAGGACCUAGGAUCCAACUUUCCUAAUUAUUGCUUGUGAAACUCUAGCCAUUGCUAAAGAAAAGCUUGGCUCUGGCAGGAUGUGAUUCUGUCCUGCUUUUGAUUAUCUUUUUGUUUCUGCAUGCAAAUGUUCGUUUGAUAGUUUCGCUGUAUUUGUUUCUUGAAUUUUCAUGGUGUAUUUAUCUUCACCUGAGUCUGUUGGAUUUGACGGUUUGCUCAUAGAAGAUCAUCACCCACGCUCAUUGGUGCUGUUAGACUCACAAGUAUUGGAGAAUAAAGCCUGUGUUACCAA
rnacentral:lncRNA from 1 species